CCGAAGAUUCCGAAAAUCUUUUGGCCAACAUUUGCUGCGUCGUGUAGGAUGCCUGCUGCUGUAUCUAUCGCACUAUGUAUGAUAUCAAAAGUAAGACUCUUAGCCUUAGCCUUAGACGGUUUAGGCUUGUCGGUAUUUACUGUUGUCGUCAUAUGCUGACCACCAAAUUGUUCUUUCUCUUUUUCAAUGAGACCCCCACUGUGGCACGAAUCUGAUAGGAUUGUGAAGCUUGCUCCUUCUGGUAGCCGGUUAACUAAACGUCUGAAGUCCACAUCUGCAGAAACCAUGUAUAUAUAGGGUAUGAAUAUAUGUUGCUAAAAUAAAUAUAUAAAUUCAAACAAAAACCUACCGGUGACAAGAUUUAAAUCACAAGCCACGAUUGCUUCAUCUUGCUUGAAAGGCUGGCCAGGUUGAAAGAUUGGAAUGCGCGUUCCAUGUCCACUGAAGUAGAAAAAUAGGAUAUCUCCUGCUUUAGCCUUGUUCACCAUUCUAUUAAGUGCAUCCUUAAUGUUUGCACCCGUAGGCAGAACCGGCGACCCUGGCGCAUCGGUGAGGACAUUAACAUCGCUUUCCUUAAACCCAAUGUUCAGGAGGACACCACUUAUGGCGUUCACAUCAUUGAUGCAUCCAUGCAAGCUGAAUUGGGUCUUGGGGUAGUUGCAUCCCACCAGAACUGCUCUCUUCGUACCCUUACUCAUCUUGCUUCGCUAAUUUGACUAUUUUGUGUUGCUUGUACCGUUGAAUUAAUGUGCUUCCACUGUCUCACAAAGAACCUAUAUAUAUACACACUAAUUUACAGCACGUGUACUGACCAUAAAGAUGACGACAUGUAGGUAGGUAGGUAGGUAGGCAGGUACAACACUUUUGUUUGUCUUUUGUAUUUUGGAAAAUGCAUGCGAAAUCCAUGCAUAUGCAAACAUUUUGUGCAAGGAACUUGCAUAUCAGUACUGCACAAAAGAGUGACUCUGGAGUUAUGGAAUUAUUUGAUAAUAUUGAAUAUGAAAUAAAUUAAAAUAAAAGAGUGGGUGAUUAAUCCGAAUUGGGAGGAGGACAGGUGUUGUGAUGGACAAAGUGUAAGACAAGGUGGUUUCCUACUGAAGCAAUAAAGCUCUAGCAAAAGGCAGCUAGGUAUUCCUUUUUCAGACAGAGACGAUAAAGGAUAGAAAAUAUAGGGUGGUGGUCGAAGAUAAAUGAUUAUAACAGCACUGAUAUGAUCUGCUUCGCCUUCGUCCACCACCUCAUCUUUAUGUUUUUAUCUUGGUCGUGACUCACGUUGGCCGUCGUCUGCAAGUGCUGUCGGUCCUACUAUCGUGAUUGUGUUACCUGGCUUCUGAUUUCUAUGUAUUAGGGUCUAUUUGAAUGUGAGGUUGGUGUAGGGGUGAGGUUACAAAAUUGAUUUUAAGGGUUAAAAGUUAAAUUAUGUAUCUAUAUAGAUUAAAGAAUUGUUAAAUCAAAAUUUUAUAUUUUUUUGGAAUAAAUUGUAAUUAUACAAAGUUUAACUUAUAAUUUUAUUGAUUUUAGCGAGAUUUAAAUAAUAGUUUUCUAUUUUAGUGGUAUAAAGAGUAAAUUUUAUUUUAAGGGCACAAUUAGACUUGAUUAUGAGUUUGGUCACCCUCCAAGCCUAAUGGCCCUCUUGAAAAAUGAGAGUUUGGGCAAAAUAUAGGUCCGAAAAAUAGGCUUGGACAAAAAAUAAUGCCUAUUUUCCAAAUGGGCCGAGCCUCAGGUAAGAUUUUUUUGCUCGGGUCCAACCUGACUUGAAUUUGCUUAAAAAAUUUUCCUUCCUAUUGUUAAUUGUUGUUUUGCUAUUAUAUUGUUACUUAUUUGUUAUUACUGUUUGGAUAUUGUAUAACUAUUGUUUUAUUGUUAAUUUUGUUACUAUUUUAGAGACAUUUGCUUGCUAAGUUACAACUAUCUUAAUGUUAUUUAAGUAUAAACACUUUUUUUAAUGUAUUUUCAAUUUGUUGGGAAACAUUUAUUUUAAUAUUUUUAAUGUAUUUGAUGUAUUAUAUUUUUUAAAAUAAUAAAUAGUAAAAAAUAUUUUAAUAUAGGCAGGUCGGGCCAUGCUCAAGUUUGGCAUUGUUUUAUCUAGGUCGGGCUUGAACAAAGUUUUAGGCCCAUUUUUGGUUCGGGCAGGGCCUGAGCCUAGAAAAUAGGCCUAAAAUCCCAACUCGAUUGAGCCCAUGAUCUAGUCUAGCCACGACCCCUACCUGCUCUGGUCACCGCCUUUGGAGACAAGAUUAAUUCUUGUGAGAUUGAAAAAAGCGAUGGCGAUAAGACUAAUUACUAUAGCAGUGAGAUUAGUUACUACGGUGAUGAUAUUAAAAUUAGUGGUGAGAUGUGUGUUAGGAUUCAAACAAAGCAAUGGCAAAAAGAUAGAUUUUGGAUUUAUAGUAAGAAAGCAAAAUGACUAUUAUGGACAAAGUAGUUUACACCUUUUCGUAUAUUUUUCUAUGAUUAUUAUUUUAAUGAUAAAAACGUCAUAUUUAAUAUUUUAUUUAAAUAAAUCGUGCAUAUUACUUAACAUAAAUUUAAAAUUUCUAACUAUUUGUUUUAUUUAAGAAUACUUUUAAUUGUUGAAUAAAUAUUAAUAUAUAUAACAUUUUAGAUCGCUAUGACAAAAAUAUCGAAUCAUUUUAAAAUUUUGCAUGUAUGAAAAGUACAAUAAUAUUGAUAAAUUUAAAGGUUGGUGUCACAUCUCAAAAACAGGAUUAAGAAAAAUUGGAUUAGUGAAACCAAUAAUGGUCUUGUUCUGUUUUGAUUUGGGAUUGUGAAAAUUAUAUUAAGUGAAUUAAUUUAACUUAAUGAAUAAGUAAUUUAUUUGUGUGUUGAGGUCUUGUGCUCAAAUUCUUUUCUUUAAAUUUUUAUUAAUUUUUGUUUCAACCUUUGAUUUUGAACACCUAACUUAUAUGUUAUUUUUGCUGAACUAAUAAUAAGGAUGAGCCUGGGGUUCAUCGGCAAGGUUUCAACAUAUGGUCCUGUACUGUUUGAAUAUUGUAUCAACAAAGUUGAAUUUUUUUUUGUUUUAUUUUAAACUUUGGGAAAUUUUCUUAGGGUUAAUUAAUAGAUUUAGUGGUUGGUUUUAAUAAUAAUAAUAAUAAUAUUGAGAUUUUGGGCCAGUUCUUUAUUGUUUUUGAAAAUUACUUUUGAAAAGUAUUGUGGAGAAGUGCUUUUGAAAAUUUUGAGUGUUUAGUAUUGCUGUCAAAAAAUACUUUUGAAAAAUAAAAUGUCCAUUUUAGACAUGAUAUUAUAAAGUAACAAAUAUGUAUUUAAAUAAUGUUCAAAUUAAAUAAUAUUAUGAUAUUUUAGCAAAAAUAUAAUAAAUAAUUUAUUGUUAAUAUUUUAAUAUAUAAUAUUAAUUUUAAAUAUUUCUAAGUAAUUAAUAUUAAUUAUUUAUUAAAUUUAAUUAGAAUGUAUAAACUAUAUUUAAAUAUUUAAAUAUAAUAAUUAAAUAUUUGUAAUUAGACAUAUUAUUUUAAAUUUUUUUAUUUUUAACUAGUACUUUUAACACAUUUGUAUUAUUUUUAUUUUAAAAUGUAUUUGAAUAUAUAACUCAUAUUAGAUAUUAACAUAACAUAGAAAAUAUAAACCUAACAAAUUAAAAUAUUACAUAUAUUUAGAUUAAAGUUUUAAAAAGGGAUAAUAUUUAUAUACCAAAUAUAAAUACUAAAAAUUUUACAAUAGCAUUUACAAUUUAAAGUGAAUUCAUUAAACUAGAAGCUAUAACAUCUCUUGUUAAUUUCAUUUCAAAACCACUUGUAUUGUUUGAUUCACCGUCAUCAUCAUCACUUUCUCGACCAUGUGCAUUUUUUGAAUCAAUAAUAUUCUCAUAUGCCCAGUUAAUAUCUUGAUAUUUAAUCCAGGGAAUUGUUUGAAGGCGCAAGGAGUGCCUACAGUCCAUCAGACAAAAAAUUUCAAAAUUUAAUCCAGUGAUCAAUCUAAUAUCACCAAAAAGAUAAUGAAAAACCAAUAGACAAUAAUUUCUCAAUACAUACAAUAAUUUCAUAUUUAUAAAUAAUUUCUCAACGGUAGAUUUAGUGGUUGGUUUUAAUAAUAAUAAUAAUAAUAAUAAUAAUAAUAAUAAUAAUAAUAUAUUAGAUAUUGAGAUUUUGGGCCAGUUCUUCAUUAUUUUUGAAAAGUGCUUUUGAAAAGUGUUCUGGAGAAGUGCUUUUGAAAAAUUUGAGUGUUUGGUAUUGGUAUUACUGUCAAAAAAUAACACAAAAAAGAUAAUGAAAAAUCAAUAGACAAUAAUUUCUCAAUACAUACAAAUAGACGGUUGACUCCAGAAUAAAGUUAUCUCAAGGAGUCACAUACUUUUGCUACAAUAUCAGCACCAAUCUGUUCAUCUAAGUCUUCCAUUGAAUUCUUUAUUGUGUGAAUCUACUCUGACAAGUGUAUAUAAGUUGCACCACCACCAGGUACUAUCCCUUCAUCCAUGGCAGCACAUGCAACAUUCUUUGCAUCUUCAAUUCUUAGUUUACGGUCUUCAAGUUCCAUCUCAGUAUGCACUCCUACCUACAGUUGUGAUGCAAAGUUCUUAACAAUUUGAAGCAGAAAAAGAUGUGGGUAUGGUAAAACAUUGAGUUAUGCAUUUCAAUUUCAGUAUACACUGCGUCAUGAUUGCAAACCUUAAUGACUGCCACACCACCAGGGAGUUUAGCAAUUCUUUAUGAGAGCCUUUUUGACAAGUAUGUCUUGAGAGUUAACCAAGUCAAACUAGACUUGUUAUCACUCCUAUUCUUUAGGAUCUUAUUCUACUUAAAAUUCAAAUUCAAAUUGUGAAUAGCUGUAGAUAACACUCUGAUGUAAUCUUGUAUAUAUUUGCUAUCAAUAGUCGAAUACAAUUGAGCUGAAUUUACAAACCAAAAUCACUAUCUUUCAUGGUAUCAGACUGCCAGUAAAAAGGUUUCAAUCACCGCCUCCUCUCCUUUUUUUUUUCCUCAUGGCCAAUUCGACUGUUUCCUCUCCACCUUUCAUGCCAAAUCAAAUCACCAUCAAGCUUACUCCCUCUAAUUACCUCCUGUGGAAAACACAAAUGACCCCUCUCUUAUAUAGCCAAAAACUCAUGCAUCAUGUCGACGGCACAGCAGCUCCUCCCAAGACCAUUGACAAUGCUCCUAACCCGGCCUAUGAGCCCUGGUUUCUUAAGGACCAAAUGGUUAUUAGCUGGAUCCUUGGCUCGUUGUCUGAGUCAGUGCUAUCUCAGGUAGUCGGAGCCAUUACCGCAUUCGCAGCUUGGACAAAGCUGCAUCAAACUUUUGCUUCCGAAUCUCGGGCUCAAAUCUGGACCCUUAAAGGCUCUCUUCAUGCCUUAUCUUGUGGCGAUGAUUCAAUCGUCAUAUACAUGGAUCGUGUGAAAUGGAUUUUUGAUCAACUCGGGGCUCUAAAUGCGGCUAUUUUUGAAGACGAUCUUGUCGAUCAUAUUUUACGAGGACUUGGUACCGAUUAUCGACCAUUCGUUCGCAAUCUAGAGGCAAAACUACAGUCAACAUCCUUUGAUGAUUUGUUUGGCUUAUUACUUUCUGAGGAAUUACAAUUGAAAGCUGUUCAAGAGCCUCUUCAUCUUACUGCCGUUGCCCACUUUGUCGGUCGGCAGCCUUCUGCUUUCGCUAAUCGUGGACGGGGUCAUAAUAGUAAGCACAAUGGCAAUUAUUCCAGUCGUGGCCGAGCUGCCUCCCCGCCCAAGGAUCCAACAUGUUACAACUGCAAGGGACGUGGCCACACAAGUCGUCAGUGUCCUAGCCCAAGAUAUGCCGAGUCCUACCCCAAACCCUCAGCAAACUAUAGCUUGUCUCCUUAAACAAAUCCCAAGCCAUGGAUCGUUGAUACCGGUGCCACUCAUCAUUUGACAUCUGAAUUGGGAAACCUGGGCAUUCAUUCUGAGUACACUAGUUCCGAUGAAGUCACUUUCACCAAUGGUAAAACCUUACCUAUCUCUCAUGUUGGCUCGUCUGUCUUAACUCUUAAUUCUCAUCCUUUCAAAUUGUCUAAUAUUCUUUAUGUUCCUGAGGCUAACCUAAAUUUAUUGUCUGCUCCUCAGUUUACACUCACUAAUGAUGUCUCUGUUGAAUUUUUCCAUGAUUAUUUUGUGGUUAAGGAUCGACGGACGAAGCAAAAUCUGCAUAGAGGGUACAUCGAGAAUGGUUUAUAUCGCCUAGCCACUGAUCCAGUAUCUCCUGCUUGUCAUUCAGUUUCGUUGUCUACAUGGCAUGCUAGACUAAGCCAUGCUUGCUCAAACACUGUCAAUAAAGUUCUUAGUUUCAAUAAAUUGUCUGCUUCUAAUAAGCAUGAUUCAUCUCUUUGUGAAACUUGCUGUGUUAGUAAAUCACACAAAUUGUCUUUUUCGGAUUCUACUUAUGAAGCAAAGCAACCGUUAGAGUUAGUUUGUUCAAAUUUGUGGGGUCCUUCUCCAAUUGCUUCUAGUGAUGGUUUUCUAUAUUAUGUGGUGUUUUUUUAUCAUUAUAACAAAUAUACUUGGAUCUAUUUUCUUCUUCGUAAAUCGGAUGUUUAUAAUUGUUUCAUUCAAUUUCAUGCUAUUGUUGAGAAAUACUUUGGUUUACCUAUUAAGCAGUUCCAAUCCGAUUGGGGUGAGGAAUUCCAAGCCCUUGAAAAAUAUUUGGCCUCUGAAGCUAUAAUCCAACGCAGCUCUUGUCCCCAUACCCUUGAACAAAAUGGCUGCGCUGAAAGAAAACACCGUCAUAUAACCGAAACUGGUCGCGCCUUGUUACAUCAUGCCUCUGUCCCUCCCAAAUUUUGGGAUCAUGCCUUUGUUGUUGCUGUAUACACUAUCAACCGUCUCCCAACUCCAAAAUUACACCAUAAAUCACCCUACCAAGCCCUUUUUCAUCGUGACCCUGAUUACAAGUCAUUGAGAAUUUUCGGUUGUUGUUGCUAUCCCUGGUUGCGUCCAUACACCAAAAAUAAGCUUGAGCCUAGGUCUGCCAAAUGUGUUUUUCUUGGUUACAGUGUUCUUCACAAAGGUUAUAAAUGUUUAUCUUUGUCCACCAAUAAAGUGUUUUACUCACGCCAUGUUAUUUUUGAUGAACAGGUUUUUUCAUUCAAGUCAAGUGAUGGGCACGUAUCGGUUCUCGGUCCUCCACCUUCCCCGACAACCAUUUUUUCUCUUGGCCAUCGCUCCGAUUCUAAUCCAUUACCUGCCGUCCCACUACCUACAGCCCUAUGCCCCAACCAGCAGCUCCCUACUGUCCCAAGUACCCCCCACCGACUGCCGAUCAAUCUCUUGCCAUCACUACCGUGUCCUCCCAACCUGCUCCCAUUGUUCCCAAUGACCCUAUCACAUUCCCGAUAGGUUCUAGCAGUCCCAAUGCUUCUCCUACCACUGCUCAGGCACCUACCGUGCGUCAUUCAAUGACUUUACGCUCCCAUACUGGCUCACUUAAAUCAAAGGUUUUUCAUGCUGCUGCGUCCACUACACUGUCAGCCCCUUCGUCAUACAUUGAAGCAGCAAAACAGUAAGUAUGGCGUGCUGCAAUGGGAGAAGAAAUUGAUGCUCUUCUAUCAAACAGCACAUGGGAUCUUGUUCCUCGUUCUCGAGUUUCGAAUAUCAUUGGUUACAAGUGGGUAUACCGUGUAAAAACAAAAGCGGAUGGUUCCUUCGAUAGAUGUCGUGCGCGGUUGGUUGCAAAAGGGCUUCAUCAAAGACCAGGCCUUGAUUACGUUGAGACUUUCAGCUCUGUAAUAAAGCCGGCCACCAUAAGGUUAAUUCUUUCCAUUGCCGUCAAUCGUCAUUAGCCCAUUCGGCAACUUGAUGUUUCGAAUGCCUUUCUUCACGGGAUUCUUGAUGAAACUGUUUUUAUGGAACAACCACAGGGAUUUGUUGAUCAUUCUAAACUUGAUUUUGUAUGUGCUCUAAAGAAAUCGUUAUAUGGUUUAAAGUAGGCGCCACGAGCUUGGUAUUUUUGCCUUUCGAAUGCACUACAACAGCUUGGUUUUCACAGUUCCAAGGCUGACAGUUCGCUGUUUAUAUAUUCAGGUAAUGACGAGUAUGCAUAUUGCUUGGUCUAUGUUGAUGAUUUGGUGUUGACAGGAUCAUCCUUUUCGUUGUUACAACGGUUUAUUGCUCAACUUGGGAAGGUUGUUGCGCUCAAGGAUUUAGGACCGCUAUCCUAUUUCUUGGGUGUUGAAGUUGCGUGGUUCUCGAGUGGCUUGCAGCUCACUCAAUCCAAAUAUAUCAAAGAUUUACUCCAUCGUGCGAAUAUACAAGAUGCAUCGUCGGUUUCGACUCCUUCAACGCCGCAAGCCGACCUCACCGGCACUACUUCUUCUACCUUUGAUGAUCCUAAGCUUUAUCGACAGCUUGUUGGGUCUCUUCAAUAUUUGGCACUCACUCGCCCCGACAUAACCAUGGCAGUAAACAAAGCUCUGCACAAUUUAUGCAUUCUCCUUGCCUCCAUCAUUGGCAAGCCGUGAAACGGAUCCUACGUUACCUUCGCGGCACAAUUGAUCAUGGUCUCAUGCUUCGCUCUUCUCGCCAAGCUUCACUUGUUGCUUUUUCGGAUGCUGAUUGGGGUGGCGACAAGCUUGAUCGAAAGAGCACUUCUGCAUAUGUUGUCUUUCUUGGCUCCAAUCCGAUCUCUUGGAUUUCUCGUAAGCAAAAGACUAUCGCUCGUUCAAGCACGGAUUCGAAAUAUCGAGCUUUAGCAUCAGCUGCUUCGGAGGUUUAUUGGCUUCAGUGCCUUCUUCGGGAACUCAAUUACAAGCUUCCAACAACGCUGGAAGUAUGGUGCGAUAACGUUUCCGCUACCUAUCUAGCUGCGAAUCCCGUUUUUCAUUCUCGUAGUAAGUACCUUGAGUUGGACUUUCAUUUUGUCCGAGACCAAGUACGCUAGAAAAAUCUUCUCGUCUCCUAUGUUCCGACCAUUGAUCAAAUAGCCGAUGUCUUGACGAAACCUUUAUCGACAACUCGGUUUCUUACACUUCGAGACAAACUGAUGGUGACUUCCCCCAUCCGUUUGUGGGGGGCUGUUGAGAGUUAACCAAGUCAAACUAGACUUGUUAUCACUCCUAUUCUUUAGGAUCUUAUUCUACUUAAAAUUCAAAUUCAAAUUGUGAAUAGCUGUAGAUAAAUUGAUUUUAUUAUUAUGAGAGUUAACCCGGUUUGUGUAAGGGUCAGGUUAGAAAAUUGAUUUUAAGGGUUGAAGUUAAAUUAUGUAUCUAUAUAGUACUUAGAAGUGUUAAAUCAAAAUUUUAUUAUUCUUUUUUGAAAUAAAUUGUAAUUAUACAAUGUUUAACAUAUAAUUUAAUAGAUUUGUCUAAAUAGUAAUUUUUUAUUUUAGACGGUAUAAAGAGUAAUUUUUAUUUGAAGGGGCUACGAUUAGACCUGAUUAUGGGUUGGGUUAUUCUUUCAAACUCGAAGACCUGCCCAAAAAGCGGGAUUGUUUAAGCAAAAAUAUAGAUUUGAAAAAUAGGCUUGGACAAAAAAUAAUGUUUGUUUUCCAAACAGGUUGGGUCUCAGUUAAUAUUUUUUGCUCAGACCCGACCCUGCUCGAAUUUGCUUAAAAAAAAUUUCCUGCUGCUUUGCUACAAUUUUGCUAUUAUAUUGCUACUAUUUUAUUGUUAAUGUUUGAAAAUCGUAUAAGUUUGUUUUACUAUUAAUUUUGCUAUUAUUUUAGAGGCAUUUUCUUGCUAAGUUGCAACUAUCUUAUUGUUAUUCAAGUAUAAUUUUUUUAAAUGUAUUUUCAAUUUGUUGAAAAAUAUUUAUUUUUAUUUUUGUAGUGUAUUUGAUAUAUUAUAUUUUUUAAAUAAAAAUAAUAUAAAAAAAAGUUUAAUACGGGUGGGCUGAACCAGGCAUAGGUUUGGCAUUUUCUUAUCUGGACUGGGCUUGAUCAAAAUUUUAAGCUCCUUUUUCAAGUCAAGUUAGGCCCAAGCCUAGAAAAUGGGCCUAAAUUCCCAACUCGACUUAGCCCAUGAUCAAUUCUAGCCACGUCCCUAUUUGCUCUGGUCACUACUAGCGAUGAGAUUAAUUUCAAUGAUAUUAAAAAUAGCGGUGACGAUGACAUUAAAUACUAUAAUGGUGAGAUUAGUUACUAUAGUGAUAAGAUUAAAAUCAGUAGUGAAAUGAUUUUGGGAUUCAAACACAACAAGGACAGUAAGAUAGAUUAUAGAUUUAUAGUAAAAAUGCAAAAUGACCAUUAUGGACAUUAAACUAAAGUAGCUUACACCCUUCCAUAUGCUUUUGUACAAGUAAUAUUUUAAUGAUAAAAACGUCAUAUUUAAUAUUUCAUUUAUAUAAAUCAUGCAUAUCUUUAACAUAAAUUAAAAUUUUCUAACUAUUUAUUUUAUGCAUGAAUACUUUUAAUUGUUUAAUAAAUGUUAAUAUAUACAAUAUUUUAGAUCGAUAUCAUAGAAGUAUAGAAUCAAUUUGAAAAUUUAAAUGCAUGAAAAGUGCAAUAAUAUCGAAAAAUAUAUGAAAGCGUAUAAAUUUAAUUUAGUUUCACACUGGUGUAAGCAGAUCCCUCCCCUUUUAAUGUGCAAAAUUAAUUAUAUCAUUUAAAUUUAUGCAUUUAAUAUUAUUUAUAAAUAUAUUUGUUUAUACACCUAACUAAUGUAAAUAAAAUAUUAAAUACGAUUUGAAGUAAUGAAAUAAAACAAAUUUUAUAAAUAAAAAUAUUAAAAUUGUUGAAAAAUAUGGAAAACGUUGAAUGGGAUUAAGUAAGCAUUUCCAAUCACUCUGUGAAUGCCUCGAGCUUCUGGAACCUGCACUCUAAAAUUCAGACUAAUACAAAAUGUUACAUGAAAGAAGUUAAAAUCAUGAAAUAAGUACUUUUCAAAAUUCAGUAUUUACACUUGCCCAAUAAUAUAAAUAUAUUCAGCAUUUAAUUUUCUGUGACAUACAUAAAAUUUUAAUAAUACAAAUUCAGUAUUUUUCUUGGGUUUAUCAAACGAAAACUGAUUAACAAGGAGAUGUUAAUUGAAGUAGAUAAAAUUCAUUCCUAACAUCACUUGAAGAAGGUUACAUGGCAUCUCAGAAAAUGAAGGGUAAGCAUUCUGAAAAGGUUAGUUUCUUCAGAUACUUUCAAAAUACAAAUUUCAGACCAUAUCAUUCUGUGUACACAUGAAAGGCAUCAAAGUAGCAGUUGAACUUACGGGGAUCUUUAGGGGAAAGAAAGGAGAGAGAAGACCACAGACAAUGAAAUCCAUACAAGUAAAAAAAUGCACAACAUACUCCAUGAUCCAUGAUUUUAUGAGAAGACUCUUUUGAGGAGAACUUCCUAGGUCGACUUAGAAUAUAUGAAUGACAGUCUUCUAUAGAACUUCCUAAAUACAGUCAGUUUUAAAAUUCAAAAAAAGAAAAAAAGAAAAACCUUGAUUAAUUGUCAGUUAUGUCCUUUUCAACUAGCUGGUUACAUACUGCAUAUGAAUGCUGACAAACAUUACUUGCGCCCAUCAGCUUAUGCGAGAUUCUCCAGUGUUGUAUGAAGAGGUUCCUUGAAAUGAUUCCCUAGCAAAAUGGCAAUACAGUGGCAAAGGUGAUAUUUCCGACAUCACCUAGGUUAUUUUUAUUUGAUUUAUCUGUGAAGUUAUGGUUCUUUCUUUCUAAUAGAUUAUCUAUCAAGUUGAUUCAAGUAAUUAAGCUUAUUGGCUAGAAAUAAACAAAGAAUCUUGGAUUUCUAAAUUCUUAAUAAGAUCAACUAUAUUUGUUGAAGGAUUCGGUGUAUGCUAAAGUUGCACCAAAAUCCACAGCCAAAUACUCAAAAACUCUGUUUGUAUAUACUAUAUUGUCAUUCAAAAACUGUCAGUCAAUUGCUCAAAAACAAACCUUCUGAAAGUAGUGUUUGAUAUCUUUCAGCAAGGUAUCAAUAGUCUCAGAAAUGGACAGACAUACUUCGGUGCCACUGAAAACAAAUAAAUAAGAUCAUAAUGUUUUGUAUAACCUAAGAUCAGAGAAAUGUUUAAGUAUGGCGCAUAUACCUGAACUUUGCAUCAUUCUUAGGAAUUGAAGGUAGCCUAGUCAGCCUUCUGGCAGAAACACUUCCUCUAAGAUUUAAGUGAUAAUGAUAUAUCUUACAGUCUACAGAUUUACCUUGCAUGACCUAAUCAUUUUUAAAAGCUUAUUUAUGCUUUUGAUGAACUCAUUUGAAAGAAAACCAGCCAAAACCAUACCGUUUCAACUUCAAAAUGACAUGAUUUCAAUGCAUAUUUUCCAAUUUAGAAAUAGCUUCCUAUUUUUCUGAAAGAUCGCGUCACAAAAAAUCACAGUUAAUAAUUCUAAUUAUAGUUACGCAAAAAUUAAAGGAAGAAUGAAAAGCAUUCACUUGAAACUCGAACGAUUGGAGGAGAGCUAUUGAGAACGACUGAUAGUCGGCAAAGAUUUUCGGAUAAACGGCAUCUUUGAAUAGCAAAAGAAAUUAACUGACAAUACGAAAAACGAAAGGAAAUUAAAGAAAAAAGGAGAUUAGAGUGGAUUAACAUAUUAAUAUUUAGUUUUUUCCAAACCUAAGAUUGCUUAAGGUAUCUAUUAUUUGGUCCGUAAAAAUAUAUUGUGAAAAUUUUAUGGACUAAACACCAUUGUAAAUCACAUAUUCCAGUUUCGGUAAGUAAAGUUAAAAAAAUUUUAAAAAAAUUCAGAAGAACUGAAACAUCAAUGAAACCCCAAUUUUCUAAUUACCCAACCAGCAUAAGCUAGAAUUCAGAAGAAAAGAGAAAAUAAAUUACAGCAGAUCUAGAAAUUAAAGAAAAACACAAAAAUAAAAAGCCAAUAAGAAAUUUUUUUUAAAAAAAAAAAAAAAAAGAAAUGAAGAAGAGCUGUCUUACCUGAGACAAUGUCGAUUGAGACUAAGAAAAGACUAAUAUUUUCUUCAAUGUGAGGAGCAGCAAAAAUAGAAAAACAAUGGACGAGAUUUUGGGGUUUUCAAGCAAUGAAAAGAUUGAGAAAAAAAGGGACGGGAUUUUGGGGUUUCAAUCAAAGAAAAGUCUUGAAAAGAAAAGGGAAAUGUUUUGGGGGGUUUCUAGCAAAGAAAAGAUUGAGAAAGAAAAUAAUUCGUCCUUGGAGAUAAGGCAUAACUUGUAUCCAUGCGCUUCAUAUUCGCCUGGAGUUCGCUCCUAGAAAUAUAGCCAUCUCUACCCCUCACGUCAAUCCCACAAGCCUCUUAUCCAUUCUUAUUUGAUCACGGAGGGGAAGGCAAAAUAGAAAAACUCACAUUGGGUUUAGGGAUAAUCAGGCUCGAACUGAUGACUUCACCGCGUCAAGGUGAUAUCACUGAAAAACGGUUUGCAGUGUUUUUACCACAAAUGCCGUUAUUUCUUACUUUUGUGGUGUUUUUAUCAUAACCGCUGCUAUACUUUACCUAUUGCGCUAUUGUUUUAUCUAUUGCAGUGUUUUUUUGUUAGCGCCACUAGUGUAUAAUAUUUGCGGCGUUUUUUGUCUAAGUGCACUAAAAAAACCUUAAUUUCCUAUAGUGGAACCCUAUGUGAUGGCAUGAUGGUUAAGAGUAUUCAUCAUCCUAGGUGAUGUGUGGGUUCAAAUCGUGCUAAUUACGUUUGUCGUUCGAGCUUUGCCCUGUUAUUGUAAUUCACCAAAAAAGAAAAAGUUAAUAUUUUGUUUUCAGGGUUUUUAUAUUUGUUAAGAAAUACCAGUGACUAAAUGGCUUAGGUACAAUUAAACAAAGUUUAUAAUUUAUUGGGAUAUAUUUUAAAAUUAUAUAUAAAUAUUUAUUCAAUGUGUAAUUUAAUACGUAAAUUUUAAUUUUAUACAAUUAUAUAUAUGAUUUUUUUAUAUCAAAUUCCAUAUUAAACUAUUAGAAUUUACGUAGAUUCAAAAAUAAUAUUAUUUUUUUUGGCUCACAUGCAAUUUAUUUAGAUACGUUACGCAUACCUCACUCAAAAUUUUUAAAAAAAAAAUUAUGAAGGCAAGUUAUGUUUUUAUGGAUGUAAUUUAGUAAUACAAAUAUUUUAUUCUUUAGCUGAAAAAGAUAGGUUUUUUUUAUAAUUUAAUUAAAAUUUACGAUUAUCAUUCAAUUUAGUGUAGCUUUUAGAGAUGACAAUGGAGCGGGGUGAGAGUAAAUAAUUGUUAAAUUUAUUAUCGCUCCAUCAUUUACAUUCAUUCUCGACGCAACCCAACCCACUUUGCUCUACUUCAAUUUAUUUUUUGAUAUUUGUCAUUGAUAUUUUCAAUCUUUUUAAAGUUAUAUAUUAGGGUUAUGGUUCUUAAAUUAUACAUAAAGUAACUUUUUUAAUAUCCCAUCUUUAGAAAAAAAAAAGAGCCACCUUCUCUAAAUUGCUUUUGUGCUAAUUUGGAAGAUCAAAACUUCAAUGUCCGUAUAUUUCAAGAAAUCAAUGAAUUAAGGUAUACUUUCGAAUCUAGUUUUGUUCUUGAUGAUUUGACAUGAUAGAUUCUGAUUUACAGUUUUAAGUUCAUAUCAUAUUUUGUUUUACGGUUCUAAUAAGUGGCAUUCGAGCCUCGUCAUGUAGAAUCAUUCUACUUCUAGCUAGAGCUUCUUCUCAUUGAUUUUCUUUUCUUUUAUUAUUUCUUUUUUACUUUGUUUAAAUUUUAAUUUUUUUUAAAUUUUAAACUCUUUAUAUAUUUAUUUUAAAAAUAAAAUUAUCACGGAUGUAUAUAAAUACAACAUUACCUAGUGCUAUCUACUCAUUUAUAUUUUUCAAUUAAAUUUUUGUUUUUAUAAAUCUCUACAUGCUUACAUUACUUCAAUACAACACCAAAGGAACCAAAUGUCAAACACCGACACCUAUAAAUAAAAUUCUUGCAAAAGAAGCCGUUUUAUUUAUCAUAAAAUUAUAUAAGAAAUAGCCAUACAUGGCGAUUACAUAAGCUUGAAUGCCUUAAAACACACAGACAUACGAUAGUAAUAAGCAAACACACACACAGAGGAUAGUAAUAAGCAAACAGACACACAGACGCAGUAAUGAAGGCUAACUUCAACUUCGUAGUAGUGCACAUCGAUCGAGCACAUUAUUAUUUAGUUUAGAGUUUCGACCUCUAGUGAUCGAAAACCCUGGUUCAAAGCCGGCAGCUUACGCACCCGUAGUGGUGUUGGAUUGGUGGCCAAGAAAAGCUGCAUCAGCAUUCUCAUCACUGCAAUAAAGGCAGGGGUGCUGCUGUCCAAUUCCUAGGUUUAUUAUUCAUUCCUGCCCAUCACCACAAGCUGUCUAUUGGUUAAUGCACCAUUGCUCUCCUUGAUGACCUUCAGAACUGUAUAGGUAAAGGCCCCAAACGCCUUUCCUCCAGUUUUGUCACUCGCUGGCAUAUCAAUUGAAAGCUCAUUGGCUUGGCACCCACUUAACAGAAUUCCCUCAUCCUCCGUCAGCGACCUCAAAUUCAAAAUAUCACGUUCAUAAUGGGGUAGGAAUUUGAGACUCACAUUGUUCCCAAAGAUUGUGGUCAAAAGAGAGCCAAUACCCGUCAUAUUGUCUGUUCCAGUGUUGAUGGCAUUGGCAACUGCUGUUGUGUCCAAGAAGCUUUGUGUCGCGCUCACGACGUUGGCUGCUGUUUGUAGGCACUGGUAUAAGGUUUCAAUGGAAAUGCUCCUAGUCUUGUAAUCAACAGGUGGUGCUAUACCCCUUAAGAGUACUAUGGGGUCCAAUUUGUUCUUUACUUUUAUCAAUCAGACCACCACUGUGGCAGGAAUCCGAAAUCAUUGUGAAGCUUGAUCCACUUGGUAGUUGCUGAAUCAAUUGCCCCAAGUCCACGUCUGCACAACCAUGGCAACCACCAUAUGAUAUAAAUAAUAGUUUGCUUAGAUUGAGAGUAUUUUAAAAUUUUAAUUUACCGAGUUGAUUACGUACCAAAAAUGGGAUUGAGAUCACAAGGCACAAUUGCUUCACCCUCGUUGGGAGGCUGGUGGGGGUCAAUGCGGUGCACAAUUCCAUGUCCACUAAAGUGGAAAAGCAGGACAUCUCCUUCUUUAGCGGCGACCACCAUCUUCUUGAGUUCAGCCAUAAUGUUUGCACGCGUAGGCUUAUACGUGGACUCUGGUUCAUCAGUUAGGAGCUCAACAUUUUCGGAAUCAAAGCCAAACCUGCUCACGAUCAUUUCUCUCAUGGCUUUCACAUCAUUUACGCAUCCGCUCAACUCGUUGAUGGUGUUGGGGUAGUUGCAUCCAACCAGAACGGCUCUCUUCUUACAUUCGGUGGCCAUCUUGCUUCUAUUUUGGGUCGCUUGUCUUGUCUUGUGCUUCGGACGUUGCACUAAACACCUAUAUAUAUACACACAUACACACUGUAGUUUACACUAUGCUCACUGACCAUACUCUAAUAAAUAAGACAUCAUGUUGGUAGGUACAACUGUUUUAUUUUAUUUUUUUGUUUAUAAAAAUGCAUGGCAAAUCCAUAUACAUGCAAUCAGAUGUCUGUAUAAAAGUACCACUGUUAGAGUGUAUUUGGACUAAAAAAUUUAGAAUUAAUUUAAAAUAUUAAAAUUUGUAAUUGUUUUAUUUAGAUAAAUAAUUGAUUUAGGACAAAUUAAGUUAUUAGAAUUUUACAAAUUAAAAAUAAUUGUAAAAUAAAAAAUUAUAUUACAAAAAAAUAAAAAUAAAAAUAAAAAUAAAAAUAAAAAUAAAAUAAUUAUAAAAUAAUUUAUACACAAAAAUGAAUAAUUUGAAAAGCUUUCCAUAUUAUUAAGUCCAAAUUUGAUACGAUACUUUUCCAAUUAAGCAAUUUUGAUAUAUUUGGCCUCUAAUAAGAAAUCAACAUAUGGAAUGGGUGAUUAAUCCGACUUGGGAGGAGGACAGGUGUUGUGAUGGACAAAGAGGAAGAUAAGGUAGGUAUUCCCUUUUUCAGACAAAUAAGAUAGAAGAUAGAAGAUAGAAAAUAUAGAGUGGUGGUCGAAGAUAGAGGAUUAUAACAACACUGAUAUGAUCUGCUUCACCUUCGUCCACCACCUCAUCUUUAAUUAUGUUUUUAUCUUGGUUGUGACUCACGUUGGCCUUCGUCUGCAAGUGCCGUCGGUCCUACUAUCCUGAUUUCUAUGGCCUUAUUUGGCAAUUGGCUCAUAAUGGACAAAUAAUAAUUGUAUAAUGUUUAAGUUAUAAUUUUAUAGAUUUAAGAGAGAUCAAAAUAAUAAUUUUUCAUUUUAUGGGGUAUAAAGUGUAAUUUUCAUUUUUAGGGGGUCAUGGUUAGAUGUGAUUAUGCCACAUGAAGGUAUGCCGGAAAAGUGGGAGAGCUUAAGUAAAAAUAUAGGCAUGAAAAAUGGGUUUAGAUAAAAAAAAUGCCCGUUUUCGAAACGGGUCAAGCCUUGUGUAAGAAUUUUUUGUCCGGGCCCGGCCCAGCCUGACUCAAAUUUGAUUAAAAAAAAUUCUUGGUGUUGUUUAAUGUUGUUUUGCUACCAUUUUACUAUUAUAUUGCUGCUAUUUUGUUAUUAUUGAUUGGAUAUUUUAUAACUUUGUUUUAUUAUUAAUUUUGCUACUAUUUUAGAAGCAUUUGCUUGUUAAGUUGCAACUAUCUUAGUGUUAUUUAAAUAAAAAGACUUUUUUUAAUGUAUUUUCAAUUUGUUGGGAAAUAUUUAUUUUAAUGUUUUUAGUUUAUUUGAUGUAUUAUAUAUUUAAAUAAAAAAGUUUAAUACGGGUAGACUGGGUCAAGCUCAGGUUUUGCAUUUUUUUUAUUUGGUUCAGGCUUGGACAAAAUUUUAGACCUAUUUUUCGGGUCGAUUUAGCCCAUGAUCAAGUUUAGCCACGACCCUUGCCUGCUCUGGUCACUGCCUCUGGCAAUAAGAUUAAUUCCAGUGAGAUUGAAAAUAGCAAUGGUGGUGAGAUUAGUUACUAUAGUGAUGAGAUUAAAAUCAAUAGUGAGAUGUGUGUUAGAAUUCAAACACAACUGUGGUUUAUAGAUUUAUAGUAAGAAAGUAGAAUGACCAUUAUGGACAUUAAACUAAAGUAGUUUACACUCUUCAAUAUAUUUUUGUACAAUUAAUAUUUUAAUAAUAAAAAUUCAUAUUUCAUUUAUAUAACUCAUGCGUAUUGUGAAAAAUAUAAUGUCGGUAAUGACAAUAUAUCGCAAAGAAAAAUAAAAAAAGAAAAAUAAAGAACACACAGAUUUUACGUGGAAACCCAUUCGGGAAAAAAAACCACAGGCAGAGGAGAAGAAAAUUCACUAUGUCGAAUUCGAACUAAUUACAAGAGGAGUAGACUAUACCUAUUUAUAGGCUUGUAAAACCAUAUUCUAAUAGGAGUAAAACACCUUAUUCUAAUCAAUAUCAAAUAGAUAGAGUUUAAUAAGGUUUAAAAAACCUUAUUCUAAAAUAAAAUAAAAGAAGUAUAAUUCUAUAGGGAUUUUACUUUUAUUUUAUUUUACCACAGUAUUUUAUUAAAUAAUGAUUCGGGUCACUUAAUUCUAACAAUCUCCACCUUGAAACGAAUUCUUAAUGAACAAGUUCUUCAUCGCGAACUUUCAACGAACAAGUUUUUCAUCGCGAACUUUCAACUUAAGGGUUUAUCUUCAACAAUGAACACCAACCAAGUCUAUGCAAUGCUCAAACUUGGUUAUAGGAAGUGACUUAGUCAUCAUAUCUGCAGGAUUUUCAUGAGUACUAAUUUUGCUCACAACAAAAUCACCACGAGCAAUAAUAUCACGAACAAAAUGAUACCGAACAUCAAUAUGUUUUGUUCUCUCAUGAAACAUUUGAUCUUUUGUAAGGAAGAUGUCACUUUGACUGUCACAAAAUACUGUAUUGAUUUGAAGGUCUUCAUUGAGUUCAUUAAAGAGUCCCUUCAACAAAAUAGCUUCUUUACAAGCCUCAGUAAUCACCAUGUACUCAGCUUCAGUGGUGGACAAAGCGACUGUAGUUUGCAAAGUGGCUUUCCAACUGAUUGCACAACCUCCGAUUGUAAAGACAUAACCUGUGAGAGAUCUUCUUCUAUCGAGGUAUCUAGCAAAAUCAGCAUUAACAUACCCAAUGACUCCAUCUCUAGUUCUUCCAAACUGUAAGCAAACAUCGGUAGUACCUCGUAAGUAUCUUAAAACCCACUGAACUGCUUUCCAAUGUUCUUUACCGGGAUUCACCAUGUAUCUGCUAACUGCAUUAACUGCAUAUGAUAAAUCUGGACGUGAACAAACCAUAGCAUACAUGAGAGAUCCCACUGCACUAGAGUAUAGAACAUGUGACAUAUACUCAAUCUCAUCAUCUGAUUGUGGAGACAAAGCCGAUGAAAGUCUUAAAUGGGCUGCUAAAGGAGUACUGACAGACUUAGCAUUCUGCAUAUUGAAUCUACAAAGAACUUUCUCAAUGUACCCCUUUUGACUUAGGUACAAUUUACUUGCUUUUCUAUCUCUGAGAAUCUCCAUACCAAGUAUCUUCUUCGCUGGUCCCAAAUCUUUCAUCUCAAAUUCUUUACUUAGUUGGGCUUUGACCUUUCUUAUCUCUCCUUUAUCUUUUGCUGCUAUCAACAUGUCAUCAACAUAAAAGAGUAGAUACACAAAAGAACCAUCACUGUUUUUCUUAAAGUAAACACAACUGUCAAAGCUACUUCUUUUAAAAUUAUGAGAAGUCAUAAAGGAAUCAAACCUCUUAUACCACUGUAUUGGUGACUGUUUCAAACCGUAAAGGGACUUUUUCAGCAAGCAAACAUAGUCCUCUUUUUCUGAGAUUGUAAAACACUCUGGUUGUUGCAUGUAAAUAUCCUCCUCAAGUUCUCCAUGCAAAAAUACAGUUUUUACAUCUAACUGCUCAAGCUCCAAAUCAUGCAUGGCUACAAUACCAAGCAAAGCUUGAAUCAAACUAUGCUUCAGAACUGGAGAGAACAUAUCUGUGAAGUCCACUCUUGGAAUUUGACUGUAACCCUUUCCAACAAGCCUUGCUUUAUAUCUGGGUUCUUCAACUCUUGAAGUCCCCUCUUUCUUCUUAAACACCAAUUUACAACGAACAACCUUUUUACCUUUAGGAAGUUUCACAAGAUCCCAUGUUUUAUUUUUGUGUAGUGAUUCCAUCUCCUCUUGCAUAGCAAACAUCCACUUUUCUAAGUCUUCACAACUAACCGCCUCAGAAUAAUUAGAUGGCUCUUGGUUUGCAUCUAUAUCUUCAGCCACAUUUAAAGCAUAAGACACUAGAUCAGCCUCGGCAUACUUCUUUGGAGGUUUAAUUUCUUUUCUAGUUCUAUUUUUGCCGAUAGAGUAUUAUGGUGAAGAAGCAACUCUAUUUUGAAUUUUUGUACUGGCUUCAGUAGUCGACUCUGUUGUAGAUUCUGAAUUAAUCUAAUGCUCCACCUUCUUUUGAUUUUCUUUAUCGGAAGAGUCUUUAAGAGAUAAGUUAGGUAGCAUAGCAGUUUCAUUAAAAACAACAUCUCUGCUAAUCACCACUUUUCUAUUUUCAGGACACCAUAACUUAUACUCUUUUACACCAGCUUUAUAACCAAGAAAAACACAUUUAAUAGAUCUCGGUUCCAAUUUUCCAUUAUCAACAUGAGCAUACGCAGGACAACCAAAAAUCUUUAAAUUAGAAUAGUCAGCAGGAUUACCAGACCAUACCUCUUGUGGAGUCUUUUUCUCAAUGGCAACAGAUGGAGAUCGGUUGAUCAAAAAAAUACAGUAGAGGCUACUUUGGCCCAAAAUGACUUUGGUAAGCUGGCAUUUGACAACAUACAUCGAACCUUCUCCAUAAUCGUUCUAUUCAUUCGUUCUGCAACACCGUUUUACUGUGGAGUAUGACGAACUAUCAAGUGUCUCACGAUCCCUUCUGACUUGCAUAGUUUAUUGAAUUCAUCAGAAUAGAACUCUAAGCCAUUAUCUGUGCGAAGGUGUUUUAUUUGCAUUCCCGUCUGUUUUUCAAUCAUGGUUUUCCAAGACUUAAAUGCGGAAAACACAUCGCUUUUCUGCUUCAGAAAGAACGCCCACACUUUUCUACAAAAAUCAUCAAUAAAAGUUAGCAUAUAAUUAGCUCCACCUCUCGAAGAUACUCUGGAUGGACCCCACAGAUCAUAAUGAAUAUACUCUAAUGUUCCCUUCGUGUUAUAGAUUCCUCUGGUGAAUCGAACUCUUUUUUGCUUCCCAAAAACGCAGUGCUCACAGAACUGUAGUUUGCAAAUUCCUUGCCCAUCAAGAAGUCCUCUUUUGCUCAAUUCUGCCAUGCCAAUCUCACUCAUAUGCCCUAGGCGCAUAUGCCAAUGUUUAGUAAUAUCAUCAUUUGACAAGGAAGAGGAUGUGACAGUUGCAUCACCAGUAACAGUAGAACCCUGCAAAACAUAUAACUUGGCAGUCUUUCUCUGCCCUUUCAUUACAAUGAGGGAACCUUUAGAAAUCUUCAAAACCCCACUUUCAGCUGUGUAUUUGUACCUUUUUGAAUCAAGAGUACUCAAUAAAAUUAAAUUUCUCUUCAAUUCUGGAACAUGUCGUACGUCGCUAAGUGUUCUGACAACUCUAUCAAACAUCUUAACUUUAAUUGUUCCAACACCUGUAAUUCUACAUGAAGCAUUAUUUCCCAUCAAAACAACACCUUCAGACACUGUUUCGUAAGUUGUAAACCAAUCCCGAUUGGGACUCAUGUGGAAGGUGCAGCCCGAAUCAAGAAUCCACUCCUCGCUCACUUUAAAAUUGUUGACAGAAGCGACUAGAAGUUCACCAUCGCUAUAGUCUUCUACAACAUCAGCCUUACCAAAAUUUUCUGGUUGCUUUCCAUUUUGAUUCACAGCUUCCCUUUUGAUCUUAUUCUGCAGUUUAUAGCACUCAGAUUUAGCGUGCCCAUUCUUGUUGACGCCAUUUUCUGGAUGAAAAAAGGGUCAACUUGGAUUUUGAAAAUGAAAACGGGAGUCGCCACCAAUCCUUUUUUGUGAGGUGUGAUUGGAUCACCUCCAAAAGUGGUUGUUUUUAAUAAACGGUUUGAUUUUAUUAAAACAACAAGUUUGGUCCACGAAAUUCAGAAAAAUGGGUUCGGGAGUCGGUUACGCACGAGGAAGGAUUAGCACCGUCGAUACGCCCAAAAUUGGUACCUAGUUGAUUAGUUAAUGUCUUAAUGUCGAAAAUUGAAAACUUUGAAGAAUUUUAAAAAUACGAUCCUUAUAUUAUAAUGUUGAAAAUUUUCGGGAAAAUGAGGCAUAUUUCACGUUAAUCGAGGAAAAGAAUCAUAUCCAGUAAGUUAGGACACAAUUUCUCGAAUUUUCGAUGCGCGAAUGAAUGCCGAAAAUUUAAAAGAUGUCUGACUAUCUCGAAUUUAAAAAAGGGAUCAAGUCCAGUAAGUUAGGACUCGAUCUUUUCUUAAUUUCCGAGAUCAUUUAAAACUUCGGUUAAAAAACUCUCGUAUUUAGAUUUAUCGUGAAAAUCGAAACCUAGUAAGUUAGGGUACGACUUUCUCGAGUCUAAACAUGAAAUUUUAUUUAUUCAAAAGUCAUAAUUUAUACAUUGAAUGAAAAAUAAUUUAACGCGUAAUAGUAGAAAUAAAACAUGAUGUUAAUGCUUGUAACAAAACAAUAAUGAAUUCGAUAAUGUAAUUAUGAAUAAUACGAGUAACAACAAAUAAAAGAUAAAUAAAUAAAAAACGAAUUAAACAUGCAAAAGAAUAAGCAAAUAAACUACUCGAAUGAAAGUGGGCAUAAAUAAAUAAAAGAAAAUAAACACCGCGCUAAAUAACGAAACCAUAAAAGAAAUAAAAAUAUAUAAAUACAUGUAUAUAUAUAUUUUAGAAUUAUGAAAAUAUAGAAAAUAUUUAAAAAUAUGUAUACGUAUAUCUAUGUGUAAUAAAAUACGUAGAAAUAGAUAUAGGUAUGUGUAAGUAUGAAAAAUGAAAUAUAAAAAUAUAUUUAUAAUAACUUUAAAAUGUAUGUGUAUAUGGAUUAGGAAAAUGUAUAUAUUUACACACAAUAAAAUAAAAUAAAAUAAAAUAUGUACAUAUAUAUUAUAAAAAGUAUGCGUUUGUAUAUGUAAAAUAUAUAACAAGAAUUUUAAAAUUAAAAGAGUAUAAACAUAAUAAUAAUAAUAAUAAUAAUAAUAAUAAUAAUUUGAAAACAUGAAAAGCUAGAAGUAAAUAAUAAAUAAUAAAAGAUACAGUAAGAUAAAUAUAUAUAUAUAAAAACUAAAAAACUAAAAAAGAAAUAUAUAAUAUAUAAUAUAAUAUAAUAUAUAAAAAGGUAAUGCAAAACUAUUUUAUAUAAUAAUGAUGAAUAAAUAAAUAAAUAUAAGGGAAAAUAAAAACUAAUAAUAAAUAACAAUAAUAAUAAUAACAUCUCAUUUAUUGAUUUAAUAAUAAAACAAACAAAAUAACACAAAAAAAGGCUAAAUUAGAUAUUAAAACAAAAUUCGGGGCCAAAUCUAUAAAUAAAUAAAAGAGGAAGGACAAAGUUGAACGCGCGAACAACAAGAAGGGAUCAAGAGAGCAAUUUUUCCUUCUUUCCCAAAACGCACAGCAUCAUAAGACCAAAUUGUAAAGAAAAAUAAACUAAUGUGCGAAUUUUAAAAAAAACAAAAGGGCCUUGAUUGUAAAAUUAUUUAAAAGCGGAAGGGCUGAAAACGCAAUUAGCCCUUCCGCUCAAAAACACGCGGAUCUUGGCUUGGAGCGGGUCGGGCGAAUUGGGUUAAAGCCAAAACGACGCCGUUUUGGCGUUUUAGAGGGCUGAGCAAAACGACGCCGUUUUGCUUCCCUAUUUAAACCAAUUUUUUUCCAGAAACUUUCAUUUUUCUUUCUUCUUCAAACAAAACUCCCUCAUUCUCUCUCAACCCCCUUUCUUCUCCCCCAAAAUCCGGCCAAGCUUCCGGCGAGCCACCGCCGUAGCCCACCGCGCCGGCCACCGUACACGGUGGCUGAAAAAAUAAAAAAAAAGGUAAUUUUUUUAUUUUGCUAAUAUAAACUGUUUUUAUAUGUAUAUAUAUGUUUGAAAAUAGGAAAUGAACGGAUAUAUAAAAAAAAGAAAAAAAGAAUCCGAAAUGAAAAAGGAGAGAUCACCUUUUAGUGUAUCUUUUUUUUUCUAUUGAUCUUUCUUCCCUUUUUUGUUACAAAAGUCCCUCAAAAAACCCCCGUUACAUUUUUUGAAUGGCCUUUAAAUAGCCAUUUUUUACAUCUUUUUAAUCUGUUCUUGCGCUCUUGUCACUUCUUUCUUUCUGUUUGCAGGCGCAAGUGGGUGAGCAAGUGGGCUGCGGCGUCAGAAGCAAGUGGCGACCAGGAGCAGGUGGUGGCAGUUGGGGUUGGUGGCUGUGGCGGCUGAAGCUAGGGUUAGGGGCUAGGGUUUCUUUUCUUUUGUUUUUUUUGUUAUUGUUUUCUGAUUUGGGCUGAAAAGUUUUUUUAUUGGGUUUAGGUUGGUUAUUUGUUAUUGGGCUAAUUGUUUUGGUUUAAUUGUUUUGGUUCCUUGGGCCCGGGUCAAAAAUUGGGCUUGUAUUGCUUGUUGGAGGGAUCCAAUCGCGAUAUGAUUAGUUGGCCCUAGGAAAAUGGUUAAAAGCUAUUCAUCAGGGUCGGAUGUACCAUAAAUAAAUGAUAUGAGCCCAUAAUAAAUAGGCUCGUCUCAGAGAAUUCCACGAGAAGGCUGGAUGUUGAAAAGAUUCUUCCUUAACGAAAGGAUUCUAAAGGGAAAUGAAUGCCAAACCAGGAAUGUCCCUAUGUUGUAAAGAAGAUCAUUUUCAGAGGAGCACUGAUCCUGAGUGAGAUUGCCAAUCCUAUAAACUCGGAUCCAGUUAAGAAACAUUUCGUUUAAAGAAAAAGGAAGGACCAAGGUGAAAACUUGCAAAGGGCACUUUGAGUCAAGAAAAAAAUGUAAAAAAAAAAAUGAAUGAAAAUGAAAAAAAAUUGAAAAAUGAAAAAAUGAAAAGUAAAAAUGGAGAGGCUAAGGGGAAAACCCGCAAAGGGCAUCUUAGGCCAAAGGGGAUUUGAGUUGAAAACCCGAAGGAGGGAUCAAAUAUUGAUCAGAAUGGGGCAUGAAGUGAUCAGAUUGGGGCAUGCGGUGAUCUUGCUAUACCUGAAAGGGUAAGGCGACAUCUUGGGGCAUCGACGGAGUCCUGUAGAUCUUCUAAACACCUGUCAAACUCAGGAAGGUCUUCAGAAAGUUUGUACAGAGAAGUUCAAGUUGCGAUAUCUAGGGCACCUGCCAUUCGUAUUAUUUGAAGUUGUUAUUCUUGGAAUACUUCUUUCUUUUUCAAGAUACAUGUUCCAAUCAAUUCCUUUUUUUGCUAUCCUUGAUAAUUUAUUCAUUUCGAGCUAUGCUCUCAAAUCAAUUCUAUUUUAUCCAUCGUUAUAUUCUUCUUGCAAGCAUGUUGCAUUGGAAUGAUGAUACUUUCACAAUGGAAGUUUUACAUAUUACUCUAGAAGUUUCUAAAUAAUAUAGGAACCUGAAACAGGACUAUUGUUUAGAAAACACCAAGUUUAAAGGGUGAAAUAUCUAAGAAGGAAAAGUCUAAGUUAAGGCUAUCCCUUCGGAUUUUGUUGUCCAAACAUUGACUGAACAAAAUGACAAGAUGCCGUGUUGGUGACAAAGCUUCAAUGAACAAACAAGCAAUGAUCACUGAGUGAUAAGAAAAGGUUUUCUCAGAGAAGAAAAUUUUGCAAUUGUGCAUGAGCAUUUGGUAUGACACCUGGGGAAUGGGGUAAAAAAAACCAAAAAGCUUCACAUUCUGUAUCCUUGAAUUACGAUAGAAGAAGAUUGAGAAAAGCCAUAUCUUUCUACCCUUGGGUUACAGUGGGAGAAUGAUGGUACAUUUUUACGUCCCAAUGGAUUGAACUUUGACGUUCACAGUGGGGGGCAAUCAGAUUAAGUGUUUCUUUGGAUAUGCCAGACGAGCAAGAAGGCGUUGUAGUACGUCAGUGAUAAAACCUUAAUAAGCUUUUGCGUGAUGAUAACCUAAGCAUUAAGGAACCAUUUUCAUGACAUUUUGCAUUCAUUCAAAUGUCAUUCAUACACAUCUAGUUAGGAGCAUUUGAUUUGUUCUGAUCAUGUCAUCCUAAUCACUAGGCACAAUUAGGUUCAUAAAAUAGAACAUACAGGUCAGGUUCCCCAAAGAACAGAUCAACGAAGAUAGCAGAUCUUGUCUUCCUGUAUUUGGCAGCGGAGGAAAUCGAAGAUAGUAGAUCUUGUCUUCCUGUAUUUGGCAACGAAGGAGAUCGAAGAUAGCAGAUCUUAUCUUCCUGUAUUCGGCAGCGGAGGAGAUCAAAGAUAUAGCAGAUCUUGUCUUCCUGUAUUAGGCAGCGGAGUAGAUCGAAGAAAGCAGAUCUUGUCUUCCUGUAUUAGGCAGUGGAGUAGAUCAAAGAAAGCAGAUCUUUUCUUCCUGUAUUAGGCAGUGGAGUAGAUCAAAGAAAGCAGAUCUUGUCUUCCUGUAUUAGGCAGCAGAGUAGAUCGAAGAAAGCAGAUCUUGUCUUCCUAUAUUAGGCAGCGAAGUAGAUCGAAGAAAGCAGAUCUUGUCUUCUUGUAUUAGGCAGCGGAGUAGAUCGAAGAAAGCAGAUCUUGUCUUCCUGUAUUAGGUAGCGGAGUAGAUCGAAGAAAGCAGAUCUUGUCUUCCUGUAUUAGGCAUCAGAGUAGAUCGAAGGAAGCAGAUCUUGUCUUCUUGUAUUAGGCAGUGGAGUAGAUCGAAGAUAUAACAGAUCUUGUCUUCCUGUAUUAGAGCGGAGUAGAUCGAAGAAAGCAGAUCUUGUCUUCCUAUAUUAGGCAGCGGAGUAGAUCGAAGAAAGUAGAUCUUGUCUUCCUGUAUUAGGUAGUGAAGUAGAUCGAAGAUAGUAGAUCUUGCCUUCCUGCCUUGACAGCGAAGCAGAUCGAAGACACAAACCUUGCCUCUCUCGGUUGUAGUGGAGCUGGUUGAAGACAACAGAUCUUGCCUUCCUGCAUUGACAGCGAAGCAGAUCGAAGACACAAACCUUGCCUCUCUCGGUUGUAGUGGAGCUGGUUGAAGACAACAGAUCUUGCCUUCAUGCAUUGACAGCGAAGCAGAUCAAAGACACAAACCUUGCCUCUCUCGGUAGUAACGGAGCUAGUUGAAGAUAACAAAUCUUGCCUUCCUGCAUUGACAGCGAAGCAUAUCGAAGACACAAACCUUAUCUCCCUAACGUUGUAGUGGAGCAGACUAAAACCACAAAUCUCGUCCCCCUAAAGUUAUAACAGAGUGGAUUGAAGCUACAAGUCUUGUCUUUUUGAAGUUGCAGCGGAAUGGAUCGAAGCAACAAGACAUACUGGACUGGAAUGAAACUACUUGGAAAGAGAGGUGUUAGAGAAGUCAAGACUCAGUGAGACCGGGCAAAAAUUGGUCUUUCUUAGUCUUUGCUCUGUUAUCGUUACAUGACAACAAGCAAAGAGGGGCAGCUGUACAAGCCCAAUUUUUGACCCGGGCCCAAGGAACCAAAACAAUUAAACCAAAACAAUUAGCCCAAUAACAAAUAACAACCCAAACCCAAUAAAAAACUUUUCAACCCAAAUCAGAAAACAAUAACAAAAAAAAAAACAAAAGAAAAGAAACCCUAGCCCCUAACCCUAGCUUCAGCUGCCGCAGCCACCAACCCCAACUGCCACCACCUGCUCCUAGCCGCCACUUGCUUCUGACGCCACAGCCCACUUGCUCACCCGUUUGCGCCUGCAAACAGAAAGAAAGAAGUGACAAGAGCGCAAGAACAGAUUAAAAAGAUGUAAAAAAUGGCUAUUUAAAGGCCAUUCAAAAAAUGUAACGGGGGUUUUUUGAGGGACUUUUGUAACAAAAAAGGGAAGAAAGAUCAAUAGAAAAAAAAGAGACACUAAAAGGUGAUCUCUCCUUUUUCAUUUCGGAUUCUUUUUUUUCUUUUUUUUAUAUAUCCGUUCAUUUCCUAUUUUCAAACAUAUAUAUAUACAUAUAAAAAUAGUUUAUAUUAGCAAAAUAAAAAAAUUACCUUUUUUUUAUUUUUCCGGCCACCGUACACUGUGGCCGGCGCGGUGGCGCUACGGCGGUGGCUCGCCGGAAGCUUGGCCAGAUUUUGAGGGAGAAGAAAGGGGGUUGAGAGAGAAUGAGGGAGUUUUUUUGAAGAAGAAAGAAAAAUGAAAGUUUCUGGAAAAAAGUUUGUUUAAAUAGGGAAGCAAAACGGCGUCGUUUUGCUCAGCCCUCUAAAACGCCAAAACGGCGUCAUUUUGGCUUUGACCCGAUCCACCCGACCCGCUCCAGGCCAAGAUCCGCGUAUUUUUGAGCGGAAGGGCUAAUUGCGUUUUCAGCCUUUCCGCUUUUAAAUAAUUUUACAAUCAAGGCCCUUUUGUUUUUUUUAAAUUCGCACAUUAGUUUAUUUUUCUUUACAAUUUGGUCCUAUGAUGCUGUGCGUUUUGGGAAAGAAGGAAAAAUUGCUCUCUUGAUCCCUUCUUGUUGUUCGCGCGUUCAACUUUGUCCUUCCUCUUUUAUUUAUUUAUAGAUUUGGCCCCGAAUUUUGCUUUAAUAUCUAGUUUAGCCUUUUUUUGUGUUAUUUUGUUUGUUUUAUUAUUAAAUCAAUAAAUGAGAUGUUAUUAUUAUUAUUGUUAUUUAUUAUUAGUUUUUAUUUUCCCUUAUAUUUAUUUAUUUAUUCAUCAUUAUUAUAUAAAUUAGUUUUGCAUUACCUUUUUAUAUAUUAUAUUAUAUUAUAUAUUAUAUAUUUCUUUUUUAGUUUUUUAGUUUUUAUAUAUAUAUUUUUAUCUUACUGUAUCUUUUAUUAUUUAUUAUUUACUUCUAGCUUUUCAUGAUUUCAAAUUAUUAUUAUUAUUAUUAUUAUUAUUAUUAUUAUUAUUAUUAUUAUGUUUAUACUCUUUUAAUUUUAAAAUUCUUGUUAUAUAUUUUACAUAUACAAACGCAUACUUUUUAUAAUAUAUAUGUACAUAUUUUAUUUUAUUUUAUUUUAUUGUGUGUAAAUAUAUACAUUUUCCUAAUCCAUAUACACAUACAUUUUAAAGUUAUUAUAAAUAUAUUUUUAUAUUUCAUUUUUCAUACUUACACAUACCUAUAUCUAUUUCUACGUAUUUUAUUACACAUAGAUAUACGUAUACAUAUUUUUAAAUAUUUUCUAUAUUUUCAUAAUUCUAAAAUAUAUAUAAACAUGUAUUUAUAUAUUUUUAUUUCUUUUAUGGUUUCGUUAUUUAGCGCGGUGUUUAUUUUCUUUUAUUUAUUUAUGCCCACUUUCAUUCGAGUAGUUUAUUUGCUUAUUCUUUUGCAUGUUUAAUUCGUUUUUUAUUUAUUUAUCUUUUAUUUGUUGUUACUCGUAUUAUUCAUACUUACAUUAUCGAAUUCAUUAUUGUUUUGUUACAAGCAUUAACAUCAUGUUUUAUUUCUACUAUUAGGCGUUAAAUUAUUUUUCAUUCAAUGUAUAAAUUAUGACUUUUGAAUAAAUAAAAUUUCAUGUUUAGACUCGAGAAAGUCGUACCCUAACUUACUGGGUUUCGAUUUUCACGAUAAAUCUAAAUACGCGAGUUUUUUAACCGAAUUUUUAAAUGAUCUUGGAAAUUAAGAAAAGAUCGAGUCCAAACUUACUGGACUUGAUCCCUUUUUUAAAUUCGAGAUAGUCAGACAUCUUUUAAAUUUUCGGCAUUCAUUCGCGCAUCGAAAAUUCGAGAAAUUGUGUCCUAACUUACUGGAUAUGAUUCUUUUCCUCGAUUAACGUGAAAUAUGCCUCAUUUUCCCAAAAAUUUUCAACAUUAUAAUAUAAGGAUCGUAUUUUUAAAAUUCUUCAAAGUUUUCAAUUUUCGACAUUAAGACAUUAACUAAUCAACUAGGUACCAAUUUUGGGCGUAUCGAGGGUGCUAAUCCUUCCUCGUGCGUAACCGACUCCCGAACCCGUUUUUCUGAAUUUCGUGGACCGAACUUGUUGUUUUAAUAAAAUCAAACCGUUUAUUCAAAACAACCACUUUUCGAGGUGAUCCAAUCACACCUCACAAAAAAGGAUUGGUGGCGACUCCCGUUUUCAUUUUCAAAAUCCAAGUUGACCCUUUUUUCAUCCAAAAAAUGGUGUCAACAAUUCUUCUUGCAGAAGUUACAAGUUUUACCUCUGUUUGAAGACUUCGAUCUACCUUUAGAUUUACAGCGAGGAUUCCGUUCCUGUGUCCUUCCACGAUCAUCAUCAAAAUUCCGAUCUUGUCUCCCACGAACAAUGAGACCCUUUCCUUGAGAGUCAAUUUUAACCACAAGAUACUUCAUCUUAUCAUACGAGGUUAAAGAAUCAUAAACCUCAUCAACUGUGAGAGACUCGCGGCUAUAUAAAAUUGUAUCUCUAAAGGUUGAAUAAGACGGGGGCAACGAACAAAGUAGAAUCAACCCUAGAUCUUCCUUAUCAUACUCAACCUCCAUGGCCUCUAAAUUUGAGAGAAUUUUUUUAAACAUUGUCAAGUGUUCGUGCACAGACGCACCUUCCUCUAAACGAUGAUCAUAAAGACGCUGCUUCAUAUGCAGUUUACUAGUUAGAGUUUUCGACAUACAUAUUUGUUCCAACCUUUUCCAUAAUCCAGCGGCGGUCUUCUCCUUCAUCACAUCCUGCAAAAUUUCGUUAGACAAAUGCAGAUGUAACUGUGUUAACGCCUUUCGAUCCUUGCGCUUCUUCUCUUCCUCCGUCAAUGUUGAAGGCACCUUAUCUACCCCUAGUAGGGCUUCCUCUAAGUCUAUCUAUGCAAGAACUACUUGCAUCUUUAUUUGCCGCAAUGCGAAUCUGGUGUUGCGAUCCAACAGCGAAAUUUCAUACUUCAAAGACGUCAUUAUCGUGAUUGAGAUGAAUAACCCGAAAGCUCUGAUACCAAUUUGUGAAAAAUAUAAUGUCGGUAAUGACAAUAUAUCGCAAAGAAAAAUAAAAAAUAAAAAUAAAAAUAAAAAACACACAGAUUUUACGUGGAAACCCUUUUGGGAAAAAAAACCACGGGCAAAGGAGAAGAAAAUUCACUAUGUCGAAUUCGAAUUAAUUACAAGAGGAGUAGACUAUACCUAUUUAUAGGCUUGUAAAACCAUAAUCUAAUAGGAGUAAAACACCUUAUUCUAAUCAAUAUCAAAUAGAUAGAGUUUAAUAAGGUUUAAAAAACCUUAUUCUAAAAUAAAAUAAAAGAAGUAUAAUUCUAUAGGGAUUUUACUUUUAUUUUAUUUUACCACAGUAUUUUAUUUAAAUAAUGAUUUGGGUCACUUAAUUCUAACAAUCUCCACCUAUUUAAUGUAAAUUAAAAAUGUUCAAACUAAUUGUUUUAUGUAAGAUAUGAAUGACAGUCUUCUAUAGAACUUCCUAAAUAUAGUCAGUUUUAAAAUUCAAAACUAAUCAUUUUUAAAAGCUUAUUUUUAUGGAGAUAUUUGGCUUGGAUGAUGAGAGAAAUCAAGAGAAUUAAGGUUGAAGAUCAAAAAGUGGAAGAAAAGCAUGAAGAUGGAGAAGACUAACGUGAAACUUAUAGGUGGGGAUGAUUUUAGGUUGAUUUUUAAAAUUUGUUUUAAUUGCCUCUUAAAAACUCACAAUUUUAAUUUUUUUACAAAUCAAUACUACCUUCAAAAUUAAAGGUAUUUAAAACUCAUUUUCAGAAAUUGAUUUAAUUUUAAUCAUAGUAAAAAAUAUUAUCGAUAAACCAUUUCGUAAAAUUUCGAACACUCUAAGGCUAAAAUUCCUAAAUUACCUCUAAAACUCCUAGGUCCUAUUUUGGGAUGUUACAAUAAAUUGGUGUAAAUACACAUUUGGUCCCUAUCGAUUUUAAAAUUGAGCAAAUAGAUCUUUCUCUCAAAAAAAAUUACAAAAAAAUUUCAAAAUAUUUAUAAAAAUUUAAGAAUUUAAAUAUUUUAAAAAUAUAUAUUAAAAACUCAAAAGAAUAUAUAUAAAAAUUAGAAAACUCUAAAAUUAUCAUUUUUGGGACCUAAAUAAGUUAAUUAAUAAUUCAAUUUUAUAAUACUAUUUUUACUCUUUUUUUUAAUGAAUUAAAAAAAAUAAAUGAUUUCAAAGUUAUGUGUUUUAAUAUAGAAUUAGUUAAAUUGUAAAAAUAUUUUAAUUUUUUCACUCGAUCCGAUCGAACGCUCACUCCUAGUGGUCGAUGUUCAUCCGCAUAUAUCUUUUGUCUCUAACCAGAAAAGAUCUCUUCCAAAAUGAAACUCUUAAAUUGGAGCGUGUCAUAUUUACUACAGGCCGUUUAUGAUAGAAUCGGACCAUUUAACUUUGAAAUCACUCACGUAAUGCAUGUUAUUCGGAAGGUUAUCGAUAAAUAUCGUUGCAACACCUUGAAGUUCGCCACUCCAUUUUUCUAUUGUGCGCUCUCCUUUGAUUAUAACAAUCCAGAACCUUCCUUACUCUAACUUAUAAAAUUAAAAAGACUCUGUAGGACAAAAUAAGACUUUAUUUAUUUAUUUAUUAUUACACUAGAAUUUCACACAUAGCAAACGCACACUAUAUAGGAGAUGCAUAAGAAAACAGCGGUAGGUAGAUAUAAGUCAACAGGCUGUCAAAUUUAUUCUAGUAGUAGUGCAAAACAUAAGCACAUUACUGACAGCCUGAGCACCAGCAUUUUGAUCAGAAAUUUAAGCAAAGCCACCCAAGAAAAGUGUGUUUGUAUUCUCAUCACUGCAAUAAAGGCAAGGGUUCUGCUCGAAUCCAUUGUUCUUCAAAAUCUUGGCAGCCUCAGCCACGAGGUGUCUGUUGCUUAUUCCAACACCCAAGUUCUGAUUGAUUACGUUAACCACAGCAUCGGUGAACGCCCCAAAGGCUUUAUUUUCCAAGACCAGGUCAUAUGAUGUCUCAUUGGCUUCACAUCCACUUAAUAAAAUCCCUUCAUCCUCCUCCAGUGGAUCCAACACCAUUAACCCCUCUACGUAGUGAGGAUGGAAUUUGAGACUCACAUCUUUCCCGAAGAUUCCGAAAAUCUUUUGGCCAACAUUUGCUGCGUCGUGUAGGAUGCCUGCUGCUGUAUCUAUCGCACUAUGUAUGAUAUCAAAAGUAAGACUCUUAGCCUUAGCCUUAGACGGUUUAGGCUUGUCGGUAUUUACUGUUGUCGUCAUAUGCUGACCACCAAAUUGUUCUUUCUCUUUUUCAAUGAGACCCCCACUGUGGCACGAAUCUGAUAGGAUUGUGAAGCUUGCUCCUUCUGGUAGCCGAUUAACUAAACGUCUGAAGUCCACAUCUGCAGAAACCAAGUAUAUAUAGGGUAUGAAUAUAUGUUGCUAAAAUAAAUAUAUAAAUUCAAACAAAAACCUACCGGUGACAAGAUUUAAAUCACAAGCCACGAUUGCUUCAUCUUGCUUGAAAGGCUGGCCAGGUUGAAAGAUUGGAACGCGUGUUCCAUGUCCACUGAAGUAGAAAAAUAGAAUAUCUCCUGCUUUAGCCUUGUUCACCAUUCUAUUGAGUGCAUCCUUAAUGUUUACACCCGUAGGCAGAACCGGCGACCCUGGCGCAUCGGUGAGGACAUUAACAUCGCUUUCCUUAAACCCAAUGUCCAGGAUCACACCUCUUAUGGCUUUCACAUCAUUGAUGCAUCCAUGCAAGCUGAAUUGGGUCUUGGGGUAGUUGCAUCCCACCAGAACUGCUCUCUUCGUACCCUUACUCAUCUUGCUCGCUAAUUUGACUAUUUUGUGUUGCUUGUACUGUUGGAAUAAUGUGCUUCCACUGCCUCACUAAGAACAUAUAUAUAUAUACACACUAAUUUACAGCAUGUGUACUGACCAUAAAGAUGACGACAUGUAGGUAGGUAGAUAGGUAGGUAGGCUGUAAUAGAAACUCUCACAUGAAACGAAUGAAUGAAUGAAUUAUUAUUCAUGAAAAAGAUGAUCAGCUGAACCAUCAGCUUCCUGUAUUUAAAGAGUUUUACAAGUCUAACUAACACUUGUAAAUGCUAACUGCUAAAUGCUAAUUGCUAACAACAACCUGCACUGCUAUUUACUAUUUUAACUACUAUUUUACAACUGAAUAGGCAGGUACUGUAGAAGUUUGAUUAAUAUUUGGAGAAAUAAAACAAAGAAAGUGAUAAAAAAUAUAAUGGAGAAGAGAAAUAAAUUUUGUAUGGAAGAGAAAAAAAAUUCUUUCUAAUAAACUUUUUAUUUCACUCACACUAUAUAUUCUUCAUCACAUACAACUCUUUAUAUAGGAGUUGUAAGUGACUAUUCAUCUAUAUCACUAAAUCACUAAAUGCUAGGAGUUGUGACUAUUCAUUUACAUAACUUAAAUACUAUAGGAGUUGUGACUAUUCAUGCAUGUGUGUAACUUUUCAUCUUCAAGUCUCUUCGCAUUUUUAACUCUUCAUAUUCAAGUCUUUUCGCAUUCAUAACUUUUCAUAAUUUAAUUUAUGCAAGAUUAAUUUAAUUAUGUGCCAACAAUGCCUCCCUUAAAUUAAACUUGCUUCGAACUCCCAACCUUUCAACAUUUUUCUUGAAGACUUGUCCACUAAGCGGCUUUGUGAAGAUAUCAGCCAUCUGAUAUUCUAUCUUUCAAUAUUCAACUUGAACAUCACCAUUAUUCACUAGUUCCCUCAAGAAGUGAUACUGAAUGCGAAUGUAUUUUGUUCUUCUAUGAAGAACUGGAUCUUUUGUGACUGAAAUAGUAGAACUAUUGUCACAAAACAAAAUCGUUGACUUGCUCUGCUUCUGCUUAAGACUCUCCAAAAUUCCACGUAACCAAAUCAAUUGACAUCCUACAUAAGAUGCAGCGAUAUAUUCAGCUUCUGUAGUCGAAAGCGCCACAACUGAUUGUUUCUUUGAGCUCCAUGAAACUGCACCACUACCAAGGUGGAAAACAUAACCAGAAGUGCUUCUACUAUCAUCAAUGUUAUCCGUAAAACCAAUGAAAUCAACUAAUGUCUUGGCUUUAUAGAAAAUUCCAUAAUCAAUACUUCCCUUCACAUAUCUCAAUAUUCUCUUGGCAGCCUCCCAGUGAUUGGAGUAAGGUUUCUCCACGAAUCUACUCACCAAGCUAACAGCAUACACGAUGUCAGGCCUUGUCGAAGUCAGAUACAUCAACUUUCCAACCAAACUUCUGAAUAUGGUGGAAUUGACAAGCUUUCCUUCAUCCUCUUUAGAUAACUUCAGACCUGUAAUGCAUGGAGUAGAGACUGGAUUCGCAUUGUCCAUCUUGAAUCUUUUUAGAACUUCCUUUGCAUAGCUCUCUUGUGAAAUAAAAAUUCAUUUCUCGGAUUGAUGAACUUCAAUGCCAAGAAAAUGAUGAAGUUCUCCCAAAUCUGUCAUAUGCCAUCAUUGAGUGCUGAAAUUCUUUCAACAUCUUCACAUCAUUUCCUGUGAAAAUAAGAUCAUCAACGUAGAGACUUACAACCAUGAAUCUUCCUUGAGAAUUGCCUUUGAUGUAGAGAGUAUGCUCAUAUGGACAUUUCUGGAAUCCACACUUCUAAAAAUAAGAAUCGAUGAGGCUGUACCAAGCUCGGGGUGAUUGCUUCAACCCGUGCAAAGCUUUCUUCAACUUGUAAACAUUUUCUUCUUCUCCUUUUUUGACAAACCCUGGUGGUUGAUCAACAUAGACUUCUUCUUUGAGAACACCAUUUAAAAACGCAGAUUUUAUGUCCAUUUGGAACAUUUUCCAAUUGUUUUAGGCAGCAAGAGAAAUAAGUAACCGAAAUAUUUCAAGUCUUGAAACUGGAGCAAAUACCUCUGUAAAAUCUUCUCCUUCCUUUUGCUUGUAUCCUUUUGCAACCAGUAUUGCCUUGUACUUGUUGAUAGAUCCAUUUGGAUUCAUCUUUGUCUUGUACACCCAUUUGACUCCAAUUGAAUUCUUGUGUGGUGACAAAUCUGUAAGGUCCCAUGUAUCAUUAUUUUCAAUUGAGAAAAUCUCUUCUGUCAUGGCUUUCCUCCAUAUUUCUUCUUGAUAUGCAUCAUCAAAAGAAAUUGGAUCUUCUCCUACAAAAAACGACAAAUAAUACAACAUCAUUUUGCACAACUUCAUCAGUUACAUUAUAUAACUCUUGGAUGCUUCUCGUUUUUCGAAUCGGGCUGGAUGAAGAAGAAUUUGAUGAAGAACAUGAGGAAGUAGGAGGAUUUUCUGCUUCAGCAUAAUCUUCAGCAUUCUCAAUUACUGCCUCUUCUUCUUCUUCAAGUUCAAAAGGAAAAAUUGGCAAAUUUUUUUUUCAACUUCCAUAUAUUCAAACAUAGAAUUUUCAUCAAACCGAACAUCUCGGCUUAUCACAAUCUUUUUUGUCACCGGAUUGUACAACUUGUAUGCCAUACUUCUUUCACUAUAGCCAAUGAAAAUGCAUUUCUCUGACUUGUUAUCCAACUUGCUUCUCAUUGCAUCUGGAAUAUGAGAGUAAGCAACACUCCCAAAUACUCUAAGAUGACGAACACUAGGCUUUGUACCAUACCACGCCUCAUGUGGUGUGCAAUUCUCCAAGCUUCUUGUUGGUGAUCUAUUGAUAAGAUAAACUGCACAAGAAACAACUUCAACCCAAAAUCUUCUUGAUAACCUCUUCUUCUUAAGAAGACAUCUAGCCAUUUCCAUAAUUGUUCUAUUCUUUCUUUCACACACACCAUUUUGCUGAGGUGUAUGGCGGACUGUCAUUUCAUGCCGGAUGCCACUAUCUCGACAGUAUUUCUCAAAUUCUUUUGAAAAAUAUUCACUUCCAUGAUCUGUCCGCAAGGUGUUAAUUUUCAACCCAGUAAUUAAAUUUCAUCCCAGUAAAGCUUUCCACUUCUGCCUUGAAAUCUUUGAAUCUCUGAAAAGCCUCUGAUUUUUCUUUGACACAAUAUACCCAUAACUUUCUUGAUUAAUCAUCAAUGAAAGAGAUAAAGUAACGAUUACCUCCCAAAGAUGAAACUGUCAUAGGACCAAAAAGAUCCGAGUGAAUAAGUUGCAAUGGUCUUCUUGCUUUCCACGAGGAUUGAGAAGGAAAAGCAAUUUAGUGUUGAUUUCCAAGUUGACAUGCUUCACAAAUGUAACAGCCUGAAUUUGGGUCUAGUCGGAAUAGUGGUUUCGGGACCACAAAUGUAAUAUUUUAAAAAUUUCUACAGUAAGAUAUUAUCCUUGGUACAGUAAAAUAAGGAAAUGAAGUGAUAAAAUAAUAAAAAAAUAAAAAGGGAGAAUUUUGAGUUAUGGCAACAUUGGGAAAUAUAUUAUAACAUGAUAAUUCAAGAAAGGAUUAAAUUGCAAAAGUGCGAAAAGUUUUGUUGCCCAAGAGUAAAUACUUAAAAUUUGAGGGGUUAAAGUGUAAAUACAAAAAAGUUGAAGGACCAAAGGUGUAAGUAUUUUAAGGGUGGAAUGAUCUAGAAACUAAGAAAAAUGGAUGGAUUAGGAUCAAAUUAAAAAAUGUGAAGAAUUUUGAGGGACUAAAUACAAUUUUACCAAAUUGAGUGAUGACUCAAGAAUGGAAUUUUAAAAGAUCAUAAAGAGCAAAAUGGUCAAUUAAUAAGAGAGAGAAAUCUAGAAGAUAAUGAUGAUGUUGGAGAUAUUUUAGAUUAAUUAAAUAAAUAUUAGUUUAUUAAUAUUUUAAUUUAAUUUUUAAAUGUUAUUUUAUUAUUUUAUUAUUAUUUUAUUUAGUAUAUAUAUAUAUAUAUAAUAAAAGGAAGAUGAAGAAUCAUCAUCUUCCCCCAUGCAUUCCAACGUAUGAAGAGAAAAGAAAGAAAGAAACUUUCUUUUCUUUACAAUUUGGUCCUCUAACCAAAAAUCCUCCAUUUUCACUUUGAAAUCAAACAAAUUUCCAUAACCACCAAGAAAGAAAAUUCAUAAAGAGAAUAUGGGGAGCUAGAAUAUCAAGUUAGAUUCAAGAAAUAGAAGCUGGAGGAGAGAGAAAAUCAAGUUAAAGAUUGAAAUCAAUAGCACAAGGUAAGAACAUCAAGAUGUCAAUUUAUUUUUAAGUUUAAUAUUAUUGAAAAAAGCAUGGAAAUAAUGUUAUAGUAGAGUUUUCUUAUAUAUGGUCUUAUGUUCUUGAUAUAUUAGUGAAGAAAAAUAAGUGAAAGUGAUGGGAAAUAUUAUAGAGAAAUGGAGUUAUACACCUAGUAAUCAACAUUUUGAACUAAAAUAGUUUUGGACAGCAACAGUAGGUUAACUUUGAAAAAUCACCAUAAAUUGUGGAAAUCGAAUUAGAAUAUGAACAAGAUGUGUAAUUAAAUAUUAAUGAGUCUACUUUCAUAUAAAAGAAACAUAGAAAGCAAAAGAAUUGUGUAUUUUGAGAUAUUUAAAUUUUAGUGAGAAAGGGUCGGAAUGAUUUUGGAAUCCCCUGUUCUGACUUUGGAAAAUCAUCAAAACUUUGAGAAAAAUAAUUAGAGGCUUAAAUUUAUAUUUUUAAAUCCUUAAUGAGUAUAUUUUCAAUAAAAACAAACGGUAACAUCAUUUGAAUUCUGUAUGAGGAGAUAAUUAAGUUUUAGUGAAGAAGGGUCGGAACUGUCAGACAGCAGAACAGAGAUGAAUUUAGAGAAUAAACUGUACAUAUUGGCUAAACCAAAAAUUCUAAAAAUUUUAUGGUAAGAGGAUAUGUGAGUCUAGUUUCAGAUAAAAUUAACUGAUCUCAAUUUGGAGUUCUUUAGCUCAAGAUAUAAAUAAUUUAGUGACUAUGACUCAAGUGGACAGCUUUAAAAGAAUAUAAAUAAAUAUGAAAUUAUAGAUAAUGUUACAUAUAAGUAUGUUAUAUAUAUAUUAAGGAUGCGGAAUGGAGAGGAGGAGGAGGAAAAUAUGUGAUUAUUCAACUAGCAUGAGUUUUUAUUAAAAAUGAUCAAUUUAUAUGUUUCAGGGACUAAAUUGAACAAAUAUGAAAAUUUAAGAGUAAAUUUGUAAAAAUGUCAAAAAGUGACCAAAUUGCAUGAAAUGAAUUGUUUUAUCAUUUAAAUUAGUAAAUUGAAUGAAAUAUUAAUUUAGAUCAAGAUUGGGUGGAAAUUCGAGAAAAAUAGAAAAUUUCCAAAAUGUCCCUAUAUUUUGGUAUUUCUGCAAUUUAGCCUGGUAAGUUCGUAUGAACUAUAUUUUGUUUAAUUUCAAUUGAAGUGAAUGCUAUUCGGUAAUGAAUAUUAUACAUAUAUGUGUGUUUUAUAUUGGAACUGAAUUAUUAUUGGUAAUAUACAUAAUUAUUAGAUGCUUUGAAAUGAUUAUCGGAAGCUUGUUGGAGAUAUAUCACAUUACCUAUUGGUUUUAUCGGUAGUUUUGGAUGACUUGAUUCUGGUUAUAAAUGUAUAAGUUAAAUUGGUUAACGUUAGCUCAUAAAUGUUUUGAUUUUGAUCGGUUAUAAAUAUGAAUGUUAGAUAAAAAUGAAAUGCUUGAAAAUUAAUGAGUAAACUCCGGUAAUACCUCGUACCCUAUUUCGGUGUCGAAUACGGGUAAGGGGUGUUACAACAAUCAUCAUCAAGCCGAUCGAUUUUUGGUAAACCUUUGACCAUCAUCUUUCUUGAAAGCAUCUCGAAAUUUUCAUAGUUCAGAUGUCCAUAUCUAUCAUGCCAUAACUUUGAAACUCCUUUAUGAGCACCAAUAAAGCAAGACAUAUUCUGAUUUUGAAGGGUGAGAGAGAAAAAAUUAUUUGAUGCCACUACAACUCUAGCAACAACUUGAUUUUUCCUUGACAAAUAGCAAGCCAUGUCACGGAAAUAAAUAUCAUAUCCCUUCUUCAAAAGAUGCCCAACGCUAAGCAGGUUAUUUUUAAGACCAGGAACAAAAUAAACUUCAGACAUUUUCUCUACCCUUCAUUGCUUUGGUUUGAACUCCAACUCACCAACACCGCUAACUUUGUAAGCUUUGCCAUCUCCUACUUUUACUUCUCCACAAUUAGAUUCAAAGAACUUCGAAAAUAAAUUUUUGUUACUUGUCAUAUGCUUGCUAGCACCACUGUCUAUGUACCAGACAUCACCAAUCUCUCCACUAUGAGACACGAGCAACAAAGUUUCUUGCUUUUGUUCUUGAUUAUUUUGUACUGUAUUAGCUUUAUUUUUCUCUUCUUUCUUGUACCAGCAUUCACUUGCCAAAUGACGAGGUUUGCGACAAUGAUAACAUUCAAAAUAGCCACGACCUCUUCCUCUUUAAUUUCCACGUCCACGUCCUCUUUGUGAUCCUCUAAAAUUCUGACUUUGGUUGGCUUAUUUCCAUCCAUUUUCCAUGCUUGCAUCUUCACCUCUUUCACGAGCAUUUGAGCCUCUUCCCCUAAAAAUUAUUCCUCUUCCACGAGCACGAUCUCUCCCUCUUUGAUUUUUAAAAUCUCCCUUCUUCUCAUUUAGAGACAACUUUGACUGGAGUGCUUGAUCUAGAUCUACUUUCUUCUUGUUGUUGUUUAAUCUUUCUUCAUGGGCUUGCAACGAACCUGUGAGUUCAUCAAUAGUCAUUGUACUCAAAUCCUUUGAUUCUUCAAUGGCUACUACAAUGUGGUCAAAUCUGGAAUCUAAAGAACGGAGGAUUUUCUCAACACCACGAAUAUCAUCCAUAGUUUCACCAUUUCUUUUUAAUUGGUUGACUAUGGACAAAACCCGUGAACAGUAAUCAGAAAUUGAUUCCGACUCUAUUUUUUGCAAUCUUUCAAACUCCCCUCGAAGAGUUUGCAACUGAACUCUUUUCACCUUUUCAUCUCAUUUGAAUGAAUUUUGUAAAAACUCCCAUGCUUGUUUUGCCGUAGUGGCACAAGCAAUUUUUUCCCAAGCCGCUUCAUAUGAUUGAACUCCUUGAUAUAUCCAAAAUAAGGCUUGCUGAUUUUUUUUCUUUGAUUUUCUUAGACUCUCUUUUUGAACUUGUAUUAAUCAUUCUUCCUCUUCAGCCUCAACUUCAUUAUAACAUUUUUCAACAAUCUCCCAAACUUCUAGAGAUCCAAGAAGAGCCUUCAUUUGGAUACUCCAUUUGCCAUAAUUUUCUGUGGUUAAUUGGGGAACAGAAGAAAGAGGAAUAAAAUUAUUCAUUUCAAUGAACAAGGCUCUGAUACCAAUUUGUAGAAGUUUGAUUAAUAUUUGGAGAAAUAAAACAAAGAAAGUGAUAAAGAAUAUAAUGGAGAAGAGAAACAAAUUUUGUAUGGAAGAGAAGAAAAAUUUUUUCUAAUAAACUUUUUAUUUCACUCACACUAUGUAUUCUUCAUCACAUAUAACUCUUUAUAUAGGAGUUGUAAGUGACUAUUCAUCUAUAUCACUAAAUGCUAAGAGUUGUAACUAUUCAUUUACAUAACUUAAAUACUAUAGAAGUUAUGACUAUUCAUGCAUGUGUGUAACUUUUCAUCUUCAAGUCUCUUCGCAUUAUUAACUCUUCAUAUUCAAGUCUUUUCACAUUCAUAACUUCUCAUAAUUUAAUUUAUGCAAGAUUAAUUUAAUUAUUUGCCAACAGGUACAAUACUUUUGUUUGUCUUUUGUGUUUUGGAAAAUGCAUGCGAAAUCCAUGCAUAUGCAAACAUUUUGUACAAGAAAUUUGCAUAUCAGUACUGCAUAAAAGAGUGACUCUGGAGUUAUGGAAUUAUUUGAUAAUAUUGAAUACGAAAUAAAUAAAAAAUAAAAGAGUGGGUGAUUAAUCCGAAUUGGGAGGAGGACAGGUGUUGUGAUGGACAAGGGCAGCUAGGUAUUCCUUUUCAAACGAAGAAGAUAAAAGAUAAAACAUAUAGUGUGGUGGUCGAAGAUAAAUGAUUACAAUAACACUAAUAUGAUCUGCUUUGCCUUCGUCCACCACCUCAUCUUUAUGUUUUUAUCUUGGUUGUGACUCACGUUGGCCUUAGUCUGAAAGUGCUGUCAGUCCUACUAUCGUGGUUCUGUUGCCUACCUUUUGAUUUCUAUAUCUCAGGGUCUAUUUGAAUGUGCCGUGGGGAUAAAGUUAGAAAAUUGCUUUUAAGGGUUGAAGUUAAAUUAUGUAUCUUUAUAGUUUUUAGAGGUGUUGAAUCAAAAUUUUAUUAUUUUUUGAAUAAACUGUAAAUUUACAAUGUUUAACUUAUAAUUUUAUUGAUUUAGAGAGAUUUAAAUAAUAGUUUUCCAUUUUAGGGGUGUAAGGAGUAAUAUUCAUUUUAAGGGUCUAAAGAGUAAUUUUCAUUUUAAGGGGACUACGAUUAGAUUUGAUUAUGAGUUAGGUCACCUGUCCAAGCUCGAUGGCCCUAUUGAAAAGUGAGGGAGUUUGGAAAAUAACAUAGGCCUGAAAAAUAAGCUUGGACAAAAAAUAAUACCCAUUUUCUAAAUGGGCCGAGCCUCGAGUAAGAUAUUUUUGCUUGGGCCCAACUCGACCAAAUUUGCUUAAAAUUUUUUCCUUACUACUGUUAACUGUUUUUUUGCUAUUAUAUUAUUACUAUUUUAUUGUUAUGUUUGGAUAUUGUAUAAUUAUUGUUUAUUGUUAAUUUUGCUACUAUUUUAGAUGCAUUUGCUUGCUAAGUUGCAACUAUCUUAAUGUUAUAUAAGUAUAAAGACUUUUUUUUAAUGUAUUUUCAAUUUGUUGGGAAAUAUUUAUUUUAAUAUUUUUAAUAUAUUUGAUGUAUUAUAUUUUUUAAAAUAAAAAAUAAUAAAAAUAAUUUAAUAGAGGCGGGCCGGGCCAAGCUUAGGUUUGGCAUUGUUUUAUUUGAGUCAGGCUUGAACAAAAAUUUAGGCCUAUUUUCGGGUCAGGUAGGGCCAGAACCUAGAAAACGAGCCUAAAAUUCAAUCCAAUUGAGCUCAUGAUCAAGUCUAGCCACAACCCCUACUGCUCUGGUCAAUGCCUUUGGAGACAAUAUUAAUUCUUUUAAGAUUGAAAAUAGCGAUGGCGAUGAAAUUAAUUACUAUAGCAAUGAGAUUAGUUAUUAUAGCGAUGAUAUUAAAAAUAGUGAUGAGAUGUGUGUUAGGAUUCAAACACGACAAUAAUAGAAAAAUAGAUAAUAAAUUUGUAAUAAGAAAGCAAAAUAACCGUUAUAGACAUUAAACUAAAGUAGUUUUCAGCUUCUUCUCAUUGCACUCUUCUUCUCAAUUCUUUUCCAUUUUUUUGGUCUUUCUUAGUUUUGUUUAAUUUGUUGCUACCAAGGUAAUGCUCUGACAUCUUUUGUUUUUCUUAAUUUUUCGUUAUUCUUUCCUCUUGUUCUCUGGAAACCAAUUUGCUCUCAUCUGUUGGGUGUUGUUUAUCUAUUAUUUUAUUUUAUCUAUUUGUCGCUCCUAACGACUUUUUUGUCACGGUUCUGGUCCGUGUCGCUUCUAGUCUUUAAUUCGGUUGUUGGUCUUCGCGAUUUGGAGUUUUGGGAUUGUGGUAAGGUUGCAUGGGAGGUCUGUGAAGCGCGUAAUUCUUUGUCGAUGAACAGUGUCGUAGGAAUUGUUUCUUCUUUAGGUGCUGAAAUGGCUGUUGUGGGUCGACAUCGGAAAGCAGUAAGUUGUGUAACGAAAAAAUUGAAAAAUUCGAAAAACAGCGAUCGAAGAAAGUUGAAAAAGUGCACUAUCGAUGCCACAUGACCGUGUGGUAGGCCGUGUGUGACACACGAUCAUGUGACAGGCCGUGUGCAAGUUCGUUUGGCCACACGGUCUGGGCCAAUUGGGCUGUGUGGGCCACACGGGUAUAAACGAGGCCGUGUGGGCCCAUUUUUUGGAAAUUCCAUCUUGGCCCAAUUUGAUCGGUAGAAGGUAAUUAGCCUCUCCGUAGGGUCCGUACCGCUUAAAUAGGACUUGAAAACAAGGUAUCUAUAAAUAUGGUUCUAUGUUGUGUUAAAUGUAUAUGUAUUAUAAAUUUGUAUGAGCUAAUACUAUUAGUUCUGAAGGUAUGUCUUGAUUCGUUAUGUCUGUAUAAGCGUCUAUAUUGUACGAUCAUGUUAAUUUGUAUUUUUGAAUUUGAUAUAACCAUGCAUGUGAUUUCAUGGUAAAACUUAUGUGUUUCUAUAAGAUUAAAUAAAUCUAUUCUGUAAAGCUUGGACUUUCAUGUCUUUUGUUUCUGUUAUUGUACGUCAGCAUGUUCUACAUGCUCACCAUUUUGAUUCUGUACAUACAUGCCUUGACACAUUGCAUGGAAUUUUGAUAAUGUUAAAGGAGAAAGAUUCAGUAUUGGUAGUUUAAUGAUCUGCGUAAUUCAAUGGCUUGAUCACAUAUAUUUGAUCUGGCAAUUUAACUGCAUAUUGCUAAGACAUUGUUACCGGGCAACCCGGGGUGGCGGGUCAUUAUUGAUGGGCAACCCGUGAUGACUUAACUGGUGUGUUUUUGGAUGGAAGAGUUCUAGGGAACUCUAUUUUGGUGUGUAGCGGAGUUGGGUAGGACGUUUUCUAAAAAAAUCCGCAUUAUGAUUUUCUAAAAUAUCGAAUUGGCAUAAUCAUACAUAUUCAAUUAUGUUUGAUUAAUUGUUAUAAAAUUUGCUGUGAUUUUCUUAUUUGUUUAUUGUAUUGUAUGUGACCUUAGCUUGAGUUUUAGUUAGACACUAAACUUAAUAGCUCAACCAUUUGUUUUUUUUUUUGUACAUUUCAACACAUUUCAAGUAAUCGGUAAGUUAGAGUAGGACGGCGUGCAGGUGCUCGGAUGGUUUUAUCAGUUAUUUCUAAAAAAUUGGCAAUUUUCGUAAUUGUUUAUUUUGAACUUUGGGGCUGUAAUUUUUUUUUGGGUUUUUGUUUUGGUUUCUAUUUAAUUCAUCGAUGUUGAUAUUUGCGAACAUAAAAUUGCUAAAUCUUGCUGGGUUAACAAUUUAAAAUUUUGAUUUCCAAAAUUAAAUCUCUGAAAAUUUUCCAUUGUAAACUAACUCCUAAAGAGUUUUUCUAUAUAAAAAACAAAUGGUUUUAAUGAGUGUUUGCCUUAAACUAGAAAUGAUUUGUCAAAAUAGAUAUUAUCAAAACACACGAUUUGAAAUUCAAAAUUCUGGGUUUUAAGUGAGUUUUUUCCGAACUUAAGUUUUUCUAAACAUUCAUGAAAGUUUUGCCAAAGUGUAUAUUUUCGAAAUGCAUUUAGUUUGAUCGAAGCAAAGGCUUUUGAACAAGUUGAAUGUAAUUUCUCAACAUCCGGUCAUAACUUUUAGGCCAAGUUUAGGAUCUUACAGUUGGAUUGUUAAAUUAAUAAUUAUACAAAAAUAUAUUAAAGCGUAUAAAAUUACUUUGGUUUCAUACUAGUGUAAGCAGACCCCUCCCCUUUUAAUAUAUAAAAUUAAUUAUAUCUUUUAAAUUAAUGUAUUUAAUAUUAUUUAUAAAUAUAUUUCUUUAUACACCUAACUAAUGUAAAUAAAAUACUAAAUAUGAUUUGAAGUAAUGAAAUAAAAUAAACACUAUAAAUAAAAAUAUUAAAAUUUUGAAAAAUAUGGAAAAAAAAUUAAUGUAAAUAUCUCCAAUCACUCUGUGAAUGCCUCGAGCUUCUAGACCUGUGCACUCCAAACCUCCUCAUCUAAUGAAUCCACUAUGGACACCUUGUUCAUUGGUUCAAAGUGGUUGAUGUUGGUUUCCAUAUAUCCUUUGUCUCCGAUAAGAAAGGAUUUCUUCCAAAUUGAAAAUCUUGUAUUGAAGCAUGUCAUUUUACCAUAAGCCAUUCAUCGUAGAAUCGAACUCGUUUAACUUUGAAAUCACUCUCCUAAUGCAUGUUAUUUGGAAAGUUGUUGAUGAAGAUUGUUGAACACCCUUAGUUUUUCCACUCCAUUUUUCUAAUGUCCGCCCCCCUUGGUUAUAACAAUCCGGAACCUCCCUUAAUCUAACUUAUUAUAAAAUUAAAAAAAAAACUCUAAAUAAGACAAUAAAAGGUUUUAUUUAUUUAUUUAUACCACAUUAUAGCAUGAUGAACAUUACAAAUGGGCAUGAAUAAAUAGACAUAUACUAGUGGCAUAAGCUUGAAGACCUGACUUACCAAUACACUAGAAUUUCACACAUAACAAACGCACGCUAUAUACGGAGAUGCAUGGGAAAACAGCGGUAGGUAGAUAUAAGUCAACUGGCUGUCAAAUUUAUUCUAGUAGUAGUGCAAAACAUAUAUAGCACAUUAUUAUUGCUGACACUGACAACCUGAGCACCAGCAUUUUGAUCAGAAAUUUAAGCAAAGCCACCCAAGAAAGCUGCGUUUGUAUUACCAUCACUGCAAUAAAGGCAAGGGUUCUGCUCAAUCCAUUGUCCAUUAAAAUCUUGGCAGCCUCAGCCAUAAGUGUCUGUUGCUUAUUCCAGCACCCAUGUGCUGAUCGAUUAUGCUAAUUACCACUGCAAGGGUGAACGCCCCAAUGGCUAUAUUCUCCAAAACUAGGUCAUAUGAUGUCUCAUUGGCUUCACACCCACUUAAUAAAAUCCCUUCAUCCUCCUCCAGUGGAUCCAACACCAUUAACCCAUCUACGUAGUGAGGAAUGAGGAUGGAAUUUGAGAUUCACAUCUUUCCCGAAGAUUCCAAAAAUCUUUUGACCAACAUUUGCUGCGUCGUGUAGGAUUCCUGCUGCUGUAUCUAUCGCACUAUGCAUAAUAUCAAAAGGAAAACUCUUAGCCUGAGCCUUAGAAGGUUUAGGCUUGUCGGUAUUUACUGUUGUCGUCAUAUGCUCACCACCAAAUUGUUCUUUCUCUUUUUGAAUGAGACCACCACUGUGGCACGAAUCUGAUAGGAUUGUGAAGCUUGCUCCUUCUGGUAGCCGGUUAACUAAACGCCUGAAGUCCACGUCUGCAGAAACCAUGUAUAUAUAUAGGGUAUGAAUAUAUG
rnacentral:lncRNA from 1 species